UGAAGUAGGUUUGCAAAGGUUACUUAACAAUUAUAUAUAUACAAGUGAAAUACCCGCGCGAUGCUGCAGAUAUAAAAAUAUUUUUAUAAUAAAUUUUAGUUUUUUUAAUAUUUUUAUAUAGUUUUAUAAAUCUAAUUAUUAAUUAAAUAAAAGUUAUAUAAAAAUAAUUUAAUAGUUAAAUCUAUUUAAAUAAAAGUCAUUAAAAUUGGUAUAUGCGCAAAGUAAUUUAUACAAUAGUUUAUUUUAUAAAAAAUUAUAUGAAAAGGAUUUGAGAUAAAUCUAUCAAAAUAAUUUUAAAAAAAUCAAUAAAUAGAAGGAAAAUAAAAUUGUAGAAGAUAUUGUUUAAUAAAAUUAAUUAUAUAUACACACAUACACUAUAUUUUUAAAAUUUUACUCCUGAAACUUAAAUUCCGUAUUUUUUUUAUACAAUGAAAUUUUAUGUGAUUUAAAUUUCAUCUAUCAAAUUAGAUUUUAUUAUGCGAUUUACUAUGUGUAUUUUUAAUAAAAUUAAUUAAUUAUAUUGUAUAAAACUAAUUAUUAAUAAAUUUAAUUAAUUAAUUAAUUUCAUAGAGUUUAGAGAUUUAAAAUUUUAAACUUUGAAGCUUAAAAUUUAGAAAUAAAUAAUAUAAGUAAAAAUAAAAUUUAAAAUUUAAAUAUAAAAUAUAAAAUUAGAAAAUUAAAACUUUAAAAUUUUGAAUUUAAAAGCUUAAAUUUAGAAAUAAAUAUUAUAUAGUAAAAAUGAAAUUUAAAAUUUAAAUAAAAAAUAUAAAUUAGAAUUUAAAACUUUAAAUUUGGAAGUAUCAAAUUUUAUAUUUUGAUAUAAAAUUUAAAACUUUAUAUAUAUAUAUAUAUAAUAUAUAUAUAUAUAUAAUAUAUAUAUAUAUAUUUAUAUAUAUAUAUAUUAUAGAGGAGAGAGAAGGGGGGGUUUGGGGACAGGGUUCACCUUGUGUCCCCCAAACCCUCCUUUAUGUAGUUAGAUAGAAUAAAUUUAGUUUUUUUAAUAUUUUAUAUAGUUUUAUAAAUCUAAUUAUUAAUUAAAUAAAAGUUAUAUAAAAAUAAUUUAAUAGUUAAAUCUAUUUAAAUAAAAGUCAUUAAAAUUGGUAUAUGCGCAAAGUAAUUUAUACAAUAGUUAUAUUUAUAAAAAAUUAUAUGAAAGGAUUUGAGAUAAAUCUAUCAAAAUAAUUUAAAAAAAAUCAAUAAAUAGAAGGAAAAUAAAAUUGUUUGAAGAUAUUGUUUAAUAAAAUUAAUUAUAUAUACACACAUACACUUAUAUUUUAAAAUUUUACUCCUGAAACUUAAAUUCCGUAUUUUUUUAUACAAUGAAAUUUUAUGUGAUUUAAAUUUCAUCUAUCAAAUUAGAUUUUAUUAUGCGAUUUACUAUGUGUAUUUUUAAUAAAUUAAUUAAUUAUAUUGUAUAAAACUAAUUAUUAAUAAAUUUAAUUAAUUAAUUAAUUUCAUAGAGUUUAGAGAUUUAAAAUUUUUAACUUUGAAGCUUAAAAUUUAGAAAUAAAUAAUAUAAGUAAAAAAUAAAUUUAAAAUUUAAUAUAAAAAUAUAAAAUUAGAAAAUUAAACUUUAAAUUUUGAAGUUUAAAAAGCUUAAAAUUUAGAAAUAAAUAUUAUAAGUAAAAAUUGAAAUUUAAAAUUUAAAUAAAAAAAUAUAAAAUUAGAAUUUAAAACUUUAAAAUUUGGAAGUAUCAAAAUUUUAUAUUUUGAUAUAAAAAAUUUAAAACUUUAUAUAUAUAUAUAUAUAUAUAAUAUAUAUAUAUAUUAUAUAUAUAUAUUAUAUAUAUAUAGAGGGAGAGAGAAGGGGGGUGUGGGGGACAGGUGUCACCUUGUGGUCCCCCAAACCCUCCUUUAAUGUAGUUAGAUAGAAUAAAUUUUUAGUUUUUUAAUAUUUUAUAUUAGUAUUUAUAAAUCUAAUUAUUAAUUAAAUAAAAGUUAUAUAAAAAUAAUUUAAUAGUUAAAUCUAUUUAAAUAAAAGUCAUUAAAAUUGGUAUUAUGCGCAAAGUAAUUUAUACAAUAGUUUAUUUUAUAAAAAUUAUAUGAAAGGAUUUGAGAUAAAUCUAUCAAAAUAAUUUUAAAAAAAUCAAUAAAUGAAGGAAAUAAAAUUGUAGAAGAUAUUGUUUAAUAAAAUUAAUUAUAUAUCACACAUACACUAUAUUUUUAAAUUUUACUCCUGAAACUUAAAUUCCGUAUUUUUUUAUACAAUGAAAUUUUAUGGAUUUAAAUUUCAUCUAUCAAAUUAGAUUUUAUUAUGCGAUUACUAUGUGUAUUUUUAAUAAAAUUAAUUAAUAUUAUAUGUAUAAACUAAUUAUUAAUAAAUUAAUUAAUUAAUUAAUUUCAUAGAGUUUAGAGAUUUAAAAUUUUAAACUUUGAAGCUUAAAAUUUAGAAAUAAAUAAUAUAAGUAAAAAAUAAAAUUUAAAUUAAAUAUAAAAUAUAAAAUUAGAAAAUUAAAACUUUAAAAUUUUGAAGUUUAAAAAGCUUAAAAUUUAGAAAAAAAUUAAUAAGUAAAAAUUGAAAUUUAAAAUUUAAAUAAAAUAUAAAAUUAGAAUUUAAACUUUAAAAUUUGGAAGUAUCAAAAUUUUAUAUUUUGAUAUAAAAAUUAAAAACUUUAUAUAUAUAUAUAUAUAUAUAUAUAGAGAGAGAGAGAGAGAGAGAGAGAGAGAGAGAAAAGGGGGUUUGGAGGGACACGUGUCACCUUGUGGUCCCCCCAAACCCUCCUUUAAUGUAGUUAGAUAUAUAUAUAUAUAUAUAUAUAUAUAAAAUUAGGCUGGAAUACUAUUAAUGGUAAAACGCUCUUUUUACUUUCAAGUUUUUAACCUUGGAUGAAAAAUUGUAGGAUCAGAAUGAUAUUAGUCGGUUAGAGUUGAGUGGUCCCCCUUGGGUUGAGUGGUCCCCACUGGAUUAUAGUAUUUAAUCCAAUGGUUAGAAAUAAUGAAAAGAGUUAAUCCAAAGGCUAAAAAACUGGUAGCAACAAUAGGAUUUUGCUACUAAUAGUAACCCAGUCCAACUCAUAUAUAUAGUUUUGCUAGAAUACUAUCGGUAGUAAACGGCUCGGUUUACUACUGAUUUGUUUUCGAUGAUAGAGCUUCCAAAUUGAUGAUCGGCACCGUUAAAUAUGAUCUAAAGUAUUUAAACUAUCUAAAAAUCAAAUUUCACACAUUUUUGAUAUUGUUCUCUUGUCCAUCAAGUGAACAGAAAAAUGAAUGGCUGGAAAUGAAUAUCCUUCAAAAAGUGAUGAUACAAUUUUUAUAUUUGAGAUCUAAAGUCUAGAUCUUAUUUUAAAUAGUUUAAAAAAAUUUUUAACAAAAAUUUAGUUGAUUUGAACUCUUCUAUACCGUUAAACGAGCAAACGCACCAUAUCGGCUAUUAAAAUUAUAGAUUUUGUGACCCUUUGAUCGUUCAGUUAGUGAUGCCAAAAAAUCAUGAAAUUUGACUUCUAGAUAAUUUAAAUGGUUUAGAUCAUGUUCAACGGUGCCGAUCGUCGAUUUGGAAGCUCUAUCAUCAAAAAUAAAUGGGUAGUAAACCGAGCAGUUUACUACUGAUAGUAGCCCAAUAAAACUCUCUCUAUAUAUAUAUAUAUAGGGUUGGGCCAAAUUAUAAUACUAUGAAAAAGAUUGAGAGUAAAAUGAUUUAAGUAACAAGUGCAAGAUAGUUAUUUGUCUCUAAAUAUUUAAACAUGUAGAGUAUGAUAUUUUUAUAUUUUAUAUUCUCACCCUAUUUGGUGAGAUUAAUACAGGACUUUCUACUUUAAUAUUAUACAUAGAAUGGCUGAAUAAUUUACAAAUUAAAAAGGACAAAAAAAUAGUAAGACCUUAUUUGGUACUUUGGUUAAUUUGCAAUGCAACCCGUCAAAUAGUAGACAACAACUGUUUUAAACAAUUUUCUAGAAAUUCUAUAUAAAAAAAUAUAAAAUAGCAAAACAAGGCCUUGUAACUGUUUUGUCUUUAAAAAAAUUGAGUUAAAAAUAUAAAAAAAUUAAAUUUUAAAAUUGAAAUUUUGAAUAUCGAUUAUUAAGUUCCUUAUCAUCGGUGCUAAAGACGGUUGAUGGGUUCUUUAUCAUCGGCGCUAAAGACGGUUGAUGGGUCUAAAUUGCCAUAGUGUGAUGAUAGAAAUACUAUGAUAUAUUAUUACGGAAAAUGCAAGGUCUAAGUUUUUUUUGGAAAAAAAAAAAGUCUCUAUUCUACCCACUUCGCUUAUUUCAUUUAGAAAUAAACUUAACUGAAAAUAUGAAUCAAUUAGAAUUCGAACUUAAAACCUUGUGUAUCAACCACCAAAUCUUUUGUCAUUUGCGCUAGGUACGGCCGGUGUGAGGUCUCUAUUGUUAGUCACUUAUACGCACCCUCUACGGAUGGACGGGAGUGGAAGAUACUGGUGGACAGCUGUCGCCACAACAUUUGGGGAGACAGUAUUCAUUCAUUCUCACAAUCAUUGGGCGCAAGGCAGUCCCGUGAGAGUUCCGCGGGGUUGGUGAAAGAUUUGCGUUUUCUGAUUCUGCUUGGCAGUCGAUGGUGACUACAGCCUUGGUCCUUGGAGGAGGCAGACAGCAAGACGCAUACGAGGUUCAUAGAAAUUGUUUUUUUUUUUCCGGAAAAAGUUUUAAUCUUUUCAAUUGGGAAGUCACAAAUGUACCGAAGGAUUCUUAAAAAAAGAAAAUUGAUGGCAUGUGUUAGUUCUACUAAAGAUACCCUCGAAGAUUUCUUAAAACAUCACCUUUCACGUAAUGCAAUUGGCACAUCAGCACCUAUUAAAAAAAAACUGUACGAAAGAUGCACUAAAGAACAAAGGGAGCAGUGGGGUUGCUCUUUCCUACUAAUGACCACGACGUUUGAGGCAACGAGGGAGCUCCCUUGGCUGCUUAGAUAUUGCGUGUGAGGUUCUAGAGAGUACUAUGUCAGGUGAAGUACAUGUGGAGGGCACGAAAUCAGGGAAACAUGAUAGAGUCAACGUAUAACCCGAGAGCCAAUAAUAUGAACACCAAGAAAGGUACUACAAAGUUCUAGAGGUAACAUUAGGCGUACGUCAAAAGGUAACGUUAGGCGUACGUCAAAGAAACGUUGCUGUGAUCUUGAUCUUAUAUCUCCAAUUCCUAUUAUAGGGCUAUUACUUGGUAGGAACCGACCAGAUGAGCACAGAGAUAUCUUUGUCAUGUUUUCUCAUUUUAUUUUGAUCAGUAAAAAUUUCAUUAAUCUUACCUACCAUCCCUAAAACAAAUGGCAAAGAACUUGAUGGUUAGUAUCCGAGAUCUCAAGCUCGAAUCCAAGUUGAUUCACAUUUCAAACUAAGUUUAUUUCUAAAUGAAAUAAACAAAGCGGGUAGAAAUGCUACCUAUCUCUCAAAAAAAAAAAAUCAUUAAUCUUAUCAACAGUUUACAACGAAAGAGAAUGAAAGGCAACAACGAAUCCAAAAAGUUCCACAACGACCGUAUUUCCAAUAAUGCCACCACAAAUAAGAAGGCAUCAACCUGAUAUUCAUUGCUGUUAUUCACUGUUGACCGCAAAUACUCUGGAACAAAAUCUCUUUUCGUAAUACACAGACCUUCGUCGCUAGAAGGGCAAUAACAAUAAAAACCUUAGCUAAUACAUAGAGACCACAGUAGGAGGCUCACCCAAUAGAACCAAAGAUGGCAGAGCAAUCGGUGGCUAUUAGCUUUUUCGGGCUUGCAACUGCAAUCUGUAUCAGCAAAAACACCAAAACAAUUACUUUAUGGAACAUGCAACGGUUUUCUAGCAUCGGCUUUGCGAGUAAAAUAACAAAGAGGGUUAAAGCCAGCUCAGAAAUAAGAUAUAAUUAUUCACAAGUUACUAAAAGAUCAAAUCAAAUUAGCAAUGCCACUUCGCCGCACAACAUCAAACAUUAAGAUUACACAAGUAAGAUCUGAUGUGUAGGAGGAAGCAAGAUGCUGCACCACAAAUAGGACCUGAUCCUUUUUUUUUUUCCAGAGAUGGGGAACAUCUACAUCCGCCUCCGCAUUCGCCUUCCGCUAAGAUCCACACCAUCCAUUAAAUUCAGUCCUAGAUUGCUGCUGCCACUCCUUUUCCGGCAAAAUGAUGAGGGAUCAUCAUCCACUACAGCAACAGUGGCCAAUAAGUCAGAGAGUAGAGAUGGGCACGUUUCCUCCAAGUAAUUAAAACCUUCACUCUGCAUGACAACUGCAAGUACAUGAUACAGAAAAAAACACUAGGGGAUAUGAGAAACUAAGGAAACAACUCGAUCAACAUGUCCAAGUGUGAUUGGGGUUAUCAAGAAAUCAUACAUGUUAAUUUAUAAUUUGAUGAUAAUGGAUUUCAAACUGCAAUGGCAUUAAUAACCAAAACAAUUGCUUGUUUACCAGCUAUUACAGUGCUGAAUACCAUUUUACAAAGCAGACAUGGCUAGGUGAAAUUUUGAGACAUAUUCAUAUUUGGAAGCUUGACAAGCAGCAACUUAAUAUUGGAGGACAUAUGCUCCCCCGAAGCAGAGAAUAAGAAACAAAAGGAGGUGAAUUUACCACCUUAAUUAGUUCAGAUGACUAUUCUCCACUCGGGGAGAGGCAUAAAAUAAAUCUAAACAUCAACAUAACUCCUGUUUUAAGCUAGAAAAUAUUGUUAUAAAACAUUGUAGUUCAUAGAAACCAAUGCUUCAAAAUAACCCUGUUUUAAGCUAGUAAAUAUAGUAGCUUAAGGAAACUAAUGACUAUUAUAUCAUCAUGUAAGCAAUCCCAGAAUAUGAGACCUACUCGGCACUUGGAUAUUGGCAGAUUGCACCCAUAGUACAAAUAUAGCGAAUGACAAAACAUCAAGCCUGCAGUAAGUCUAACCACCAGGAGGCAAGAAAAAAAAAAUCUAAAAGAUUUAAUUUGGAGUUCACAGUGAAAACUUUCCACGACGUCAUCAGCUAGAAAACUAUAUAAAUAUAAUAUAUGAAGAACUAUGACUAUCAGUGCCACCAUCCUUGCCCCACUUCCCAAUACACAGAAAGAAAGAAAGAAUCCUCAAUUUCUUAUUCAUGCAAGGAAAAUUCACAGGUCUAAUUCUAAGGACGACGAAGCUGACCUCCCAAAUUUUCUCGAGCCGCAGUAAAUUUUAGGCAGACGGACUUCAACUGAGCACACUGGUGUUGCUCAGCUAAGGCUAAGGUUGUUGCUACUGUAUCAGCAGUGACCUCUUCACAUAGCUUUGCUUCACAUAAAAGCCUAAGACGCUCCAACCCAUAUCUAUCAGCUGCUGCUAACAAAUGUUGCACUAUUAUGGUUGAUGUGCACAUUGAAACUGAUCCAGCCAGCUCAUGAAGACUCGGAAGUUCAUCUGAAUAGAUAAAAUAAAGCAUGGCCUGCCAAAGAAAAAUAAUAUCUGAUUAUAAAGUCUGAAAUACUAUGCAGUGAAUAUGCACGCCAUUCACAGAUUUUUCGCAUAACGCCAACACAAUCCUCAAAGAUAGUUAGGAACAAAUGUCUCAGUGCACGAUAUUGCAUGAGCAGUAAAUUAAAAGGGUGCAAUUUCUGACCUUGUUAGAACGAAAAAACAAAGGUCCACUAGAAGAAGAUUGCCGAUUUAAAGACUGGUAACUACGUUCUACUAAACGAGUGCAUUUGCUUGAGAAAUAGGGCAAAAAAUUUCUAUAUGUGCCAUAGUCAAAAAAAAUAUCAGAGCUCAAGAACCAUGGAUUCAAAUCUAGUUUGAGGAACUGGAACCAAAAAGAUAACAGAACCAAAGGAUAGAAGAGGCUUAAGAUGUAGAAGUAAAUUGUUGAGAGAGAGAGAGAGAGAGAGAGAGAGAGAAAUGAAUAAUAUUAGGCAAACUUCAACAGUCAUUGAAUUACAUAUAGGAAGUUCCCUCAGUCCAUUAAAGCCACAGGUACAUUUCAACAUAGUACUCCCACAAGUGUCAUGAUACCUGAAAGCCAGUUAAUCUGAAAUAACCAAAAACGGACCAAGAGUCCAAAAUUUUUUACCAUUAUCAAGUAGUCAAUUCAAAAGGCAAAAUUCGAGAGCAUCAAUCCCACAAAACGACGGUUAUUGAUUGCGAAGUUAAUAACACCUUUCGAAGAAAAGAAGAACCUUCUAUACCAAGCGUCAAAAAUCCUUACAUUAGAAAUUAAAAAAAAAAAACUAAAAACUAAUUUCCCUAGAAAAAGAGAAAGGAAAAAAAGGAUAAUUCGCCUACUUGAAAUUAAUUCUAAGUAACAAAUAUUUUAACAUCUCCCCAAAAGAAAGAAUUUAACAUUUGGGAAACAUCUAUUUAACAAUAUAUCAUCUCCCUUAAGUGAACUUUUAUUAUUACUUGAAGAAAGAAAAGGUGAUAACUACAGAAUAACACAUAAUGGUUUAAACAUCCUGACAUAUGAGAACUGCUUGUACUUUUCACAACAUUAGAUUUUCGUCAUACACUACAUACUGAAAAAGUCUAGCCAUUGAUUGAUAAAUUGAAAAAUAACAUAUAUAUGUGAUUAUUACCUUAAAAACAAGAGGUUCCACAUCCUCUACAACAACUUUCUCCAGAUUAGGGUUUCCAAUAGGACCAAAAAAUUGGGCUUUGAAUACUGGAGAACGAGCAGCAAGAACCUGCUUAUGAGCUCUGAACAUUUCGUCGACAACUUCAAAGACUAUGUCAGAACCAAUACCAGAUUUCAGUAGUUCCAUAAGGCAGUUUCCCAAAUCAGGUGGUGGGACAGGAAUGGUAAAGAGCCUUGGUGUUUCAAUGCGAUUCCUAACAACACCCACUGUGCAGUUCAUGAUUAGACAAUCAUCCUUUAAAUAAUCUGAUGUUUCUAAUGAUGCUCUUCUGUAAAACCGCUUGUAACCCCUAAAGUUACACAAACAAUUAUAUGAAAAAUCCAUAAGUUGAGUUGGAAGAAUAUAAUUGAAAAAAAAGCUUAGUAUAGACGAGAAUACAGCUGCAGAGUGCAAAGAAAAUCAUACAUAUCUGAAAAACUCAAACAGACUUGAAGAUUAGGCCAAAGUUAUUGAAUACUGAUAAACAAUAGUAUAUGUACUAAAUCAGAACAAACCCCCUCUCCUAAUCUCACUACCUGAUGGUCAUCAGGUAGACACAUUCUUGGCAAGGGAACUUCCUAUUAUUUCUGCUCCUAUCACCUCCCAAAUCCAAAAAUAACAAGGUCAGCUUCUAUCUACCCUUUUUCUUUUUUUACUUUUAUAUAUCCUAUUCCGCCAUUUGUGUCAUAGUACCAAGAUAUCAGGCUAUCACCGACAAUCCCUAGAGCAAGUGGCAAAGGGCUUGGUCCUUGCCUCCUUGGCACCCGCGGUCCCAAGUUCGAAUCCUAGUUGAUUCACAUUUCCAGCUAAGUUUAUUUCUAAAUGAAAUAAACGAAGCGGGUAGCAUGCUACCUAUAUCUCAAAAAAAAAAAAAGAUAUCAGGCUAUCUCCCGGAAGUAUCAUAACCUUCAUAUCAAGGCACAUGGAGGCUUAAUCAGAUAUGAAGUUAUUCCAUCCUUAUACGUCUACGUGACUAGCCAGCUAAGCUAGUAGAAAAAUAUAAACAUAAGUACAUAGAUAUCUAUAUGGAUAUCUAAUACAAAUUAUAUAAGUAGGCAAACAUACACAUAAUAAAAGCAUAUAGCCAUACGAACUUGGCUCGCCCCCCUCGCAUUUUGUAUAUUGAUUCAAAGAUUAUUCUGUGAAGAUUUGCUGCGAAAGUUUAAGGAUAAUUUAGAACUCCUACAGUUAAAUGCUCUUUACAUGCCCACAUACGAGUUCCUGCUCUUCAUUAUCUCGUUUGCUAAAGCAAACCAGUGUGCUUUGCAUAUAUAGCUAAAGGCAUACGCAAAUCCUUAAACAAGAGAUUUACAGCAAACGCAGAAAUCAAAAUGCCCAUCACACACAAGAAUUUCUUAUAUAAGUUCAAGCAGUCAAUAAGUUGUUUCGUAUUUAUACCUAUCUACUUUCCUAUCUUCCAAACAAAAGCUUCCAACAUACUAGAUCAAAGUAUCUCAACGGGAAUGACAAUUGAUGUAUCUUUUGCAGAAAAAUUACACAAAAAGACAGUAAACGAACCGCAAUGCACCCAAUUUUCUCACUACAAAGAGCAUAAUCUCAUCCAAGCCUAAAAUCAAAUCAAACGAAAGCCAAACACAGAACUAGAUCUGAGAAACUAGGGCAUCGACAACAAGAUCACGGAGAGGGAUAACGCGUACCACAUGCUCCCGCGAUACUUGAGGGUGUAGGGCCCUCCUUCGAGGGCCCGAUCGAAGUGGCUGUGCACCUUGUGCUUCCCCUUACCGCUCUGAUCGAGCAGCGUGAGCUCGAACAGCGCCCGCACGUCCGUGCCCUCGCUCGCGAGCGCGAUGAACACGGACACGUACUGCGCGUUGUCCUCGGGGUUCUUCCCGUCGGGGUAGAAGUACACCGCCCACUCGUACCCACCCACGGUGAACGUAUCGCUCGCCAUGUACUUCCCCGUCCCCAUCCCCUUGGCCAGCGUGAAUCCCUUCACCGUGUAGCAGUGCGAUCCGUUCACCGUCUCGCACACCGACUUCGACCACGACGCCGCCGCGGAAUUGGAGCCGCCGCCGCUUCCGCCGCCUUGCUCCUCCUUAGGCUUCGCCAUCUCAUCGGAUUCCGAAACCCUAGACCGCGAAUUACCGUAAUCUCCCGAAUCCGACGCUACUCCGGAACCCCGAGAUUGGAAUGGCGGGGAAUUGAGGGGAUUUGAUAUCCAAAUAUAGGGUUCGGAGGGAUUCGGAGAGAUAGGGUUUUGAAGGAUUGGGAAAGGUGAGAUGGUGUCGUCGGAGGAGAAGGACGAAGAGGAAAAGGAGUAGGUGGGAAACGGAAGGGGGAAUUAAAACGAAGAUAAUGAUAGAGUUGCGGAUGAGUCGAUUCGUGUGGAUGCGUUUUUAUGAAUCGGUGAGUUCGUUCGGGGCUAAACCUUGUCUCGCGCAACUCAAAAAAAAAAAAAAAAAAAAAAAGGGUUCCGUUUUAUACACCAUUAGUGACCAAAAUAAAAUAAAUAUAUAUACAUGCUUAUGAAGUAAUUGGAAUCAUAUUGUGAUUUACAUAAAUAGUAACAAUAGCAUAAAUGCACCAUAAGACAAAUUUGCCAAAUGAGCAUGUGGAAUUAAUCAAUAUCAAUAAUAAUAGUCAUUAAAUAGGAAAUCCAUAUUGUGUGCAAUAUGAACUCUUCCGAAUCAAUCUAUCUAGAUGAUCCAACAAGUUUAUUCAAUUUAAGCAAUCAACAAAUACUAGUGAAGGGACCCGCGCUUUGCAGCGGAUAGAAACCGUAGCAGUAAUUAAUAAUAUGAAAAUAUCAAACAUUCUCAUGUGUAUCUCACUUGGUACAUCCACCAAAGGUCUCUCAAUGUUGGCGGAGGAUAUGGACCCGACGAUGCCUUCUUCGGCGAUGGUGAUAGUGACGGCGACAACAAUCCCUCAGACCGCGGCGGAAGGGGAAAGUGGGCGCGCAUUCAUGAGAGAGAGAGAGAGAGAGAGAGAGGAAAGGAGGUGAUGGUGUAUAGCAAAAGAUGAGAGAUAGAGAAUUGAUGAAUAGAUUGAAGAUAAAGAAUUGAAAGUCCAGUGAGGAAAGAAAAAAGGUCAUCAUGAGUAAUUAGAGAUAAAGAUGUUAGGAUUGUAGAUGGUAAUGGCACUCUUUAAAUAUAUGAAUUGGAAGUUAGGUAGUAGGACCGUUUGCAUUAAUUGAAAUAUAAUGGAGGGAAGGGAAAUGGUCAUUAUGAAUAAUUGUAGAUAGAAACGAUACAAUUGAAUACACUACUUGAAAGUUUGAUUAGUGGGACCGUUAAAAUGUAUAUUGAAAAUUUGGUGAAUGAAAGAAGAAGAGUCACAUGUUAGUGAGGGUGAAGAAAAACUUGCCACGUGGCAAUAAAUAUUGGGAAUUCAUAUAGGUUAAUAGAUAAUAUGAUUUUAUAGUUAAAUAAGUAUCUAAGCAAGUUAGAAUAUUCAAUGUCCAAAAUUAAGUUAUUGACUCCUAAACAUUUGGUGAAUAUUUACUCACUUGGCUUGUAAUAUUUGAAUUUUACUUUAUUAGGUUAUUUCUAAAACCCUCAUAACUAUUCCGGACAGAAGGAUUAUAAUAAUAAUUAAUUUAGCCGUUGCAUUAUCUCUCAUGUACGUUAUACAAGUACAAAUUCUAAUUACACUAUCUAAUUUGAAACACAACAAAUUUACAGGUAGGAGGCUCAUUCGGAUGUAACUUAGUGUGUGUUUGAUUCCUAAAAAAUUCUUCUUGAAUUUUUUUUUAGCUUAAAAAGUAAUUUUUUGAUAUUUGAUUGCUCGUAAAAAAAAUUUUAAUUUUUUUGUAUAGAUUCGCCGAGAACAACAAGUUUUCAUUUUUCAUUUUUCCGUGGAAGAGCAGAAAAUGAAAAAUGAUGUUAAAAUACACGCCGCUUAUGACCUGAUGCACAUGUGGUCCACGAGGUCAUCUUCAUCUUGUGGACCACGUGAGAGUGUAUACAUGGUUGACCCGUGGACUCUCUCUUCCUCUUCCAUAGUAUAAAUAUAUGAAUUAAGCUGGAAUACUAUCAAUAGUACGAAGUUAUCGAUGUUAUUAAAUUUUCGGCUCUUGAAUGAAAAGAAUGUAUGGUUAGAAUGAUGUGGGCACUCUAGGGAUUGAGUGAAUUAUUAGUUGAAUAAUAUAAUAUAAUAUGUGAAAGUAGUCAAAGGGUUAAAUCUAAUGGUGAAAAACUCAAUAGUACUAAGUGCUUGAUGCUAUCAAUAGUAUAACAGCCUGACUCAUAUAAAUAUAUUAUAGAAAAUUUUAUUUUUUAUAAAAAUAUAUUAUUGUGUAAUAUUUUAUAUAUAAAUAUUAGUUAUAAAUAUAUAUAUAGUAAUUUAUUUUAUAAUAUUAAAUAUAUAUUAUUAUUAGACAUGAUAUUACAUAUGUAUUAUAUAAUAUAUUUUUAAUAUAUUUAUAAAUAAAAUAUACAUUAUAAUAAUAAUAAUAAAUAUAGUAUGAUAAUUAUUAUAUACCAAUAAUAUAUAAUAUAUAAAAUAAAAAAAUGCAUGUAUUAUUUCUUAUUUAUAAAUAUAUUAAAAAUAUAUUAUACUAUAGAAAAAGAAAGGACAAUUUGGUCAUUUUACCCUUCACUUUACUCCCUCAACAUUCCAAAAUAUACAUUAUAAUAAUAAUAAUAAAUAUAGUAUGAUAAUUAUUAUAUACCAAUAAUAUAUAAUAUAUAAAAUAAAAAAAUGCAUGUAUUAUUUCUUAUUUAUAAUUUUUUCUUUUUUUUCUUUUAGUCAAACAACAGUAAUGAAAAUUUAGUUUUUUUUCGUAUAAAUCAAAUGCUAAAAAACGUAAAACUUAUUUUUCUCUAUAAAACUUUUUUUUUCAUCCAAAUUUUUUUUCAUAGUUUCCAGUGAAACAAACGCAACCUUAACUUAUUUUGGCUCUAAAACAUUACACUUCCCUUAAAAGCUAAAAUAUUUUGGGCGGUCCAGAGAUGAUGUGGCGAAUCAGGUCCGCGCAAGAGUUUUCCGUUUCGCUUAAGUUAGUCCCACAUCGGAAGCUUACAUUGUAAGAGAGGAGGUGGGGAGGGUUUAAAAGGGUGCGUUCGGGCAACGUAAAACAUACUUACCUGGACGGGGUUAAUGGGUGAUCAGAAAGGCCCAUGACCUGGGCCCGCGGUCCACAUUGCACUUGGUGGGUGCGCUGGUCUACCAUCUCCCCAAGUGGGAGAAUGGACGUUGUAAUUUGUGGAAGAGGGGGUACGCGCCACGCGCGGCCCCUGCCAAAUCUCUAAUUUAAAAUUUUAAAUACAAAUUAUUUCGAAAUUUAACAUAAAUUUUACUCAGACAACUAAAUUAUAUUUGAAAAUUUAGUUUUUUCUUUGAAUUCGACUUAAAUUUUAAUUAGGUUACUCUUAAAUUUUAAAAGUGUUUCACAGUUUUUUUGAAAAUUAAAUUAGAUGGGAAGUUGACUUAAAUUUUAAUUAGGUUGGUAUGAAUGUAUAAUAUUCAAAUCAAUUUGGACGGGAUCAAGUUACUGAAACCUGUCUCAUAGCAAAAGGAGUCCUUUGGAGUAGAAUUUUGACAUAGCAUUACGAUUUUGGCUUUGUUCAAGAUUUGUAAUAUUCUAAUAAUUUUUUAUAUUUUUAUUAAAAAUGUUUAAAUUAUGAUAAAUUCUCAGAUAACAAAAAUACUAUAUUUCUAUGAAUUAAGAGGAAUUCUCAUUUUAAUAUUUGAUUAAAAAUAUCAGUGGAUAAGAAUAUAUUAAUUUUUAGCAACAUUCCAAUCCAAUGGUUUAAUGAGCUAGUAAUAAAUUUUUUUAUUCUAAAUAUUAAAUACACAAUAUUUUUGAAAUAUUACAAAUGUAUGAACCAAAUGGCCUCUUAUUGCCAUAACAUAUUUAUCAAAUUCUGGUGAUUCAUAUUUAUUAGAUCAUAGUUAUUUGUUUUUUUUUUUAGAGAGAAAGAUAGCAUGCUAUCUGUUUUGUUAAUUUUUUAAAAAAAUAAACUUAGCUGGAAAUAUGAAUCAAUUAGGAUUUGAACUUAGAAACCUCAGAUACUAACCACCAAAUCUUUUGUCGCUUGCGCUAGAGACAGUCAAUAUUCUAAUAAUUUGUAUUCUUGCUGAACGUUUAUGUGAUACCAGUACAAAGAAAGAUAUCUCAGAAAAAAGCUCGCUACACUUUCUCGGUAAAAGAAUUUGGCCGAGUUUAAUGCAAGAAAUCUAGCUGCUCUCUCCAAUAUAGGGAUGCAAAUGGGCAGAUUCGAGGGCGGAAGGGUUCUCCACAUCCCGCUCCAUUUUUUUUCAGGACGGGACGGAUUUGAAACGAGUUAUUUUUUAUUUUGUUUUUUACUCCCACUUAUCAGGACGGGAGCAAAUUUUGAUGAAUUUUUGAUGGAUCAAGAGAGAUUGAAGAAAGAAAAGGAUCACCCGCCUUCCAUUCCAUUUACUUAGCAUAUUGGGACGGAUUCGAAACAUAUUAUAUAUUUUUAUAUUUUCUAUUCUCAGUUACCGUUUCAUUCAGAAUGGAUCGGAGCGGGAAUUCCACCAAUCCAGAUCCAUUUGCAUCCCUACUCCAGUUCCGCGCAUAUACGAGAGUGCACGAUGAAGACAAAAAAUAAAAAUAAAAAUAAAAAUUGGAGGGGUUCAAGUUCAUGAAUGCUUCACAUAUAAACAAUGUUCAUGUUUCCCAUUCAAGGAUUUUUGCCCCUAUCAACGUUCGUUCACAGUGCCGACCAUGCAGAUAAGCCCGUGUCACCCUAUGGCUACCGUCUCAACAUAUCAAAGAGGAUUUCGCGACGAAACGUGCCACACCGUUUGGCGACGCACUAGCAUACUGUAGGCGACACACUCACGCGACAAACUGUUGCUCUCGACUAUCCCUUGAAUAAAUAAACAAAAGUCUAUUAAUAUUCACUUAGCUAUCCUUCUCAAGUAGCAUUAAAAAAAAAAAAUAAUGAUCAUGGAAUGCGUACUUAACAGAUAUUUAAUGUUCAAUAUUUUAGAAGAAAUAUAGAUUUGUGGAGGAGGUCAAGAGAGUUUGGAUGCAUACACUAAAGAACAGCACCCAAGGAGCAACUGAAAAGGAUAUAACUAAGUGUGGCAGCUUGUUGGUUGAUAAUUUGGCGAAAAAGAAAUAAUGUGAUUUUUAGAAAUGAAUUUUUCCACACUUUAGUGACUAUUAGACGAAUUCAUGAAAUGAUAAAAAAAUGGAUUAAGUUUUGCAGCUUUAGCUGGCACGUUUUUUGAGAGAGGGGUGUAAACUUUUUUUUUUCCUCUCUUUUGCUUUGGUUCUAUCUUUACUUAUGUAGUUGUUUGACUCACACAAGACCUCAUUAUUUCAACAUCUAUAGCAUAAUUUAUUUUCUAAAUAAAUGAAGCGGGCGGCGUACUACUUUUAUCAGGAAAAAAAAAAAAAGAUUAAUGGUCCUUUAACUGGGUGUGUAAAUACAGGUCACUGCAUGAAUGAAUGGUGGGGUACAAUUAAAAGCCACAACCAAGUUGGUCCAAACAGAGAAUGAACGGGCCCACUGAUGACCUCGUCCGCAAAGAAAACAGCAAAUGGGUCGGGCCCGCCACGUCCUUCCUUUCGGAUCCGGCCCACUAACGGUACGGCUCACGCGAGCAAAAGCGGCUCGGGGCGGACCCGUACCCGAAAAUCGGAUCCCCGGGUAGUGAAUUAUCACUGCGACACACCCGAACCCACAGUUGAGAAAAGUGCCGUGGACAUGCACAAGGAUGCUUUCAACCAAAAGUCCAAUCAAUUUCCAGAGCAAACGUUACCUACCGUUUCUUACGCAAGUGGCGAAAAAUUUAGUGAUUGGCAUCUGAGAUUUCGAGUUCGAAUUCUAUUUGAUUUAUAUUUUCAACUUAGUUUAUUUAUAAAUGAAAUAAAUAAAGCCGCUAACAUAUAUACUACUUAUCUCCCAAAAAAAAAAAAAAUUCUGAGCUAAUGUGUAUACUUAUAAUAUAGGUAUAAAUUUCAUACUUUAAAUCUCAAAUAGUCAAAUGCCUAAAUUUGCUUGUCUCAUGAGCUUAAUUUUUAUUGUACUAAAAAUUUAAAAAAAAUUUCAAUUAUCAUAUGAUUAUAUGUGUAAAAUGUACACCCUAUAAUAGAGUGUAUAUAUAAUGUUUAUUUUGUGGAUCCAUCUCAUCAAGCAAAAUAACUAAUUUAAUAGUUAGUUUAAUCACGUGAUCUUGCAAAAUUCAAAACAAAACAAAAAAACUAUUUCUUCAAUGAGAAAGGUUAUAUGUACACUCAAAAGUAAGUUGUAGGUCUUAUGCCCCUCCAUCAAACUAUCGAAGCAUCCAUUUGAAUUUCUAAUACUUAAAGAAUUUUAUAAGCCUAUUAUAAAAUUAUUGGUUCGUAGGUGAAUAAUAUCUAAAAUUAAACUAAUUUUUUCAGAGUAAAUUAUUUUAUGUUUUUGGUACAAAUGUAUAAAACUUAUCUAAACUACACAAUAUUUUGAUUUGACUACCUACUUUUGUAAAAUUUUAAUUUCACUAUUUAAUUUUUUAAUUUAUUUGAUUUAAGUCAUUUCAUGAUUUUCAAUACAAAAUUUAAAUUAAUUAUUUACUUUAAUAAAUUUAUAGUUAUAUGAAUUGCAUCAAAUAUACUAAUUAAGUUUGAAAAGAUAAGGCACGCAUUUAAAUUUUGAAAUUAAAGAGUCAUUAACUAGCUCAAAUUAAAAAAAUCAAAAGAUUCAAUGGCAAAAUUAAAAUUUUAAAUAUCAUAUAAUCAGAUUUUGAGGAAUAUUUUUUUGAGAGAAAGAUAAUAAACUCUUAAAAUAAACUCAGCUAAAAAUAUAAAAUAACUAAUUAAACUUAGGAUCUCGACAUCAAAUAUUAAGUUUUUAACUGCUGCGUUAGAUACAGUGGAUCAAAAUAAUAAGUAAUAGUUAAAAGAUAAAUUCUCUAUAUUUCUAUCUUUACAUUUUUAGGUAGUAUUUGGUUCGGAUAUAAAGAGGAAAAUAAGCCCUCCUUAUGCCCAAAAGUUAUUUUCAAGGUUGAAAAAUUAUAGUUUUUCAUAAUUAAAAACAAGAAAGAAUAAUUGUGGUAUAGCUGUUUCACUCUUCUACUGAAAUAAGUUUUUUUCCAAGUGAGAACAAACUUAGUUAAAAUUUAAAUCUAAUUCUAAUUAUUGUAUCAACUUAUUAAUUAAUUCAAUCAAUAUAUUUAAGUCAUUAUCUAUUGUUUAUAUAGUUAAGUAAUUAAUUAAUUUAUUAUUUAUGAUUAAUUAACUCAUUAAGGAUUAAUUAUUUAAUAUAUUUAUUUAAUAAUUGAUAUCUAUAUUAGUCAACUAGUUAAGUUAAUUUCUUAAUAAAUCAUCUAACUAAUUAAAUAAUUUACUAAUUUAAUUAAAAAGUUAAAAUAGAUUUUAUAAUUAAUUAAACAAAUAAUUAAUUAAUAAUUUUUUGUUAUCUUAUACCGUAUUCAUAACUAAUAAUUUUUUAAUUUAUUUUUAAUUAAUAUUCUAAUAUUACAUAAUUAGAUAAAAUAUUAUUAAUUUAAAAUUAUAAUUAUUUUUUUUUCUAAUCUAACCAUCUAAAUACUAUUUAUUUUAUUUUUAGAAACAAUUCAAUUUCUUUAAAUUUAUAUUUAUUUUGGGAUAAAUUUCAAAUAUCAUCCCUGUGGUUCCGCACUUUCUCACUUUAGUACUCUAUGAUUUAAAGUGUACCAAGUUAGUACCAUGUGCUUUUAUUAUUUUUCUUUUCGUCAGCUCCUUCUUUAGUAUUUUGCUAAAUUAUAUACAAAAAAUUUCAAAUAUCCCACAUAGAUUUAUCGAAUAUUCACUUUAGUACCCUUUAGUUUUAACUUUGUUACUAAUUUAACGAAGAAAAAUUAAUGAAAUGUAUAAUUUAAAAAAUAAAACUAUAUGAUACUAAAUUGAUACACUUUAAAUUAUAAAAAAUUAAAAUAAAAAAAAUAAAAUUACAGACUCGAUGAUAUUUGAAGUUUUUUUUAUUUUUUAAAAUAAGCCGUUUUUAUUUGUAACUGAAGAUGCCGUUUGGAUUAGAUACAAGAGGGGAGUUGUACCCAAAUAUAAAAAUAGGUGGAUUGGAACAAUAGUUCCCACCCAUACCGCCGGUAUAACCUGGUAUAGGUGGGAACAACUUGUUCCCGCCCAAACAAGCUUGUUCCAACGGAUAGAGAGAGAGAUAUUUUUAUUUUAAGUUAAAAAUUUAAAUUUUUAAAAUUUAAAAUUUGUAAUCUCAAAAUCCAAAUUUAUAAUUUAAAAUUUUAGAUUUUAAAGUUUAAAUUUUAAAUUUUAAAAUAUAAAAUUUUAAAUUUAAAUUUGGUCUUAAAUUUAAAUUUUGAUUUUUAAAAUUAAAAUUUUAAAUUUUAAUUUUAAAAUAUAAAAUUUAAAAGUUAAAAAUUUUAAAUUUUAAAUUUAAAAAUUUCAAUUCAAAUAGAAUGAGAGGCGUAAUAUCAUUAUUUUUUAUUUAUAACAUCAACUAUUCUUCUUAUUCCAUCUUAUCUAUCAAAACGUUAUUUUUUUUUUAUUUUCAAAAAUAACUAAAUUUUUAUCCAAAUACAAAAUUAAUUUAAUUCUCGCUUAUAUUUAAAUUUGUACUUACUUUUAGUAUAUAUUUGUUUUUACUUGUUUCCGAACCAAACGAGGCCGAAAGAAACGAAACGUUUGAAGGGAAUUCGUGCGACCCGCGAGAGGAUUCCCGACGCGUAAUAUUCCGAACAGACAGAAGAAAGGCACGCUCGCCACCACAUGGGACAGUCUGGCGACUGAGCUCUUAGCCUCACACACUCCGAGUCCGAUCGACGGAUAACCCCCUCAUCGACCUCACCAUUCCCACUCCCUCUCCCUCUCCCUCUCCCUCUCCCUCCCAUCCUCUCGUCGUCGUCGUCGUCCUCCUCCUAACCCUAACCCCUCCUCCCUUUCCUAGUUCGGACACCUCGACCUCUCCAUGGCGCUAAAUCUCCUCGAAUCCGUGUGGCAGGUACCGUUUACGCGCGAAUCGUUGAUUCGCUGAUGCAUGCUUUCAUUCCCGACCCGAGAUUUAGAGGAGUUGUUGGGGAUGAGAGUUGGAGGAUUUAGGAAUGUGGCUUUUUUAGGUUGAUCUGAUUGUGCGUUUGUAGUUGUCGGGGAUUUGGAAUGGGGAAUAUGGUGCUUAUGAGAAUUUUGGUGAGGAUUCUAGUGUUGACUUGUGCAUCUCUAGUAUGUUCGGAGUAGCGCUUAGAUGCGGAGCUUGUUCUGGUGCGGUUUUUGUGAUUUUUGUGUAGCUGCACUAGUAAAUUGUUUAUCAGAUUCGUAAUGCUGAGGUUUGCCCGGCUUCAGAGCACAUUUAGUGUUUUAAUUGAGAAGGGAAAUACCGCAAAUAUGGAUUUUUCAUAGUUUAGGGGCACUAAUGAGUACCCAGGAUCAAAUGCAGGAAACUGAUCUCUGUGAUGUUUUAAAAUUAGAUUAAGCGCCGUGCAAGUAGCCUAGCACCAAAUUACCAGAAACUGGUUCUGGAUUCCUAGCCUAAACUAAUGAAAAAAGAGAGGGAUGCGAAAUGCCAAGCAUUUAGGAUAGUUGAUGAGUCGGCAAAACCACCUUUCAUAUGCAAUUUAGGUUCAUACGACCAAAAUAAUCCUUUUGUGAGAACUCUUCGAGGCAUAGUAAUCGUACAUGGGGGGAGAUUGCUAGCGAUUGAUUUAGACAAUUGUUGCCGUCUUUAGGUGCUGUUACUUUGAAGAGCCUAACAUCACCCAAUCCAUUGCAGUUUGUCUUCUUUACUUUCAAUAUCUAGAACUGUCUUUGUCGAAUACCCGCUGUUUCUUUUCAUUGAUAUUUACUUAAGUUUUUUCUGCUGCAGUAUCUGAUCACUAAUUUCAGCGAAUUUCAAUUGGCAACCUUGGGCACUUUCAUAAUACAUGAAAGUGUCUUCUUUUUGUCCGGCCUUCCAUCUUUGCUCUUUGAGAGGUCUGGGCUUUUCAGCAAAUACAAAAUUCAGGUCCGCUCUACUUUUCCUUUGUUGCCGUUGAAGAAACUGUAUAAGUUUUUCAUGCAUUUCUUUGCACUUAGGGGUGUCAAUGACCUCUGUAGAAUUUACUGUGUAUUCUCAUUCUUCAUAUUUUCAGCAGCAACUAGCAGUACUAUCAUGCUAUACUAACUUUAACUUGGUUUGUUAAUAUUAUCACAGGCUGUUUUUUUUCUUUCACAUUAAUUGCGAUUUGUUUGGGAGAUUUAUCUUUGACAAGCAACAUGUAAUUCUUUGCAGAAAAAAGCUAACACCCCUGCUUCACAAGACAAAUGCGUUCUGCGUCUAAUUCUGUAUCAUAUCUGCGUGAACUUACCGCUUAUGAUUGUGUCCUACCCUGCUUUCAAAUUCAUGGGCCUGAAAAGCAGUGUACCAUUGCCGCCUUGGUAUUCACUAGCUUCCUUGAAUGUCGAAGUUUAUAAAUAUUACUCGUCUGCGUAUUCAAUCUUUCUUAUCAGUUUUUUCUUUUCCCAUCGAAGUUUUCUCUGAAAAAAUGUUAUUGCAAGAAACUUAUUGGCAUUUUUUAUAUAACGACUAUAUUUUUUUGAAUAAAAACAUGCUGAAGUGAAACUUAUUAAUGUUGGAAUAAAGGAAUACUUGUAUAUAUAAGUUUUUUGAAUUGUUAGUUAUCUCUUUCUGUAGGACUGUUGUCCUAUCUCAAAUUCUUUUCUACUUCAUCUUGGAGGAUUUUGUAUUCUAUUGGGGGCACAGGAUUCUGCAUACAAAAUGGUUGUACCAGCAUAUUCACAGUAUUCAUCAUGAGUAAGUAGUAUCAUUUCCUUAAAUCAUUCCUUUGUUACUUUUUUAUUCCUCUUAUUAUUAGGAAGUACGUGCAGAUAUGCUACACCAUUUGGAUUGACUUCCGAGUAUGCCCAUCCUGCUGAAAUAUUAUUCCUUGGCUUUGCUACCGUUGUUGGACCUGCUCUUACUGGGCCUCACCUGUUGACUUUGUGGCUGUGGGUAGUAUUAAGAGUCUUGGAGACGGUUGAGGCUCACAGUGGAUAUCACUUCCCAUGGAGCCCAUCAAAUUUCUUGCCACUGUAUGGAGGGUUAGUAAUGCUUUGCUUAAAACUUGCUUGGGCCUUUUUCCUGUGCACUUAUCAUGCACUUAUCAUGAGUUGACACUUAAUUGUUGCUUUUGUAGUGCCGACUUUCAUGACUACCAUCACCGUUUGCUUUAUACCAAGUCCGGAAACUACUCAUCUACUUUUGUCUACAUGGACUGGUGAGUGUUUCUCUCUUGUUGUAUCCACUGUUUGAUUAACUAGAGAAGCAGUAAGUGUACAUGGUCAGAAAGCUUUUUGCUGUGACGAAUUUAUUAUUAGUAGUUACAAACCACUUGGCUGUUCUCUUAGCACAAGUUAAAAUUGUUUCUCUAAUAAACUAGCACAGAUUUGUUUGCCACUAUUUUGAAAUUAUGAUGUUUGGGUCCAUAAAAAAGGAGAAGGAAAGGGUUGCACUUUGAAAUGGGUGCUUGAACUGAAAAGGUCUUCAUUUUACUAUUGAAAUAGGUACAUGGGAAUUUCUAAUGAAUUUUUCAGGCUAAGUAUGUCUAAGAUUAGGAAAAAGGGCAAGCGGUCUUUACUUAACCAAAACAUAAGAAUUAAGAAACAAUUGUAUUUGAGGGCCAGAAGUGUCAAAAAUGGGGAUCAAUACCUUGGAUCUGUAGCUCAGCAAGAAAAACAGAUUGAAGAGCAUAUAGGUGGUUAAAUUGUGAAAACGGAGAAGAGUUAUCAGGACAAUGUUGCACGAGGAACAUGUUGACUUAUUCUUGAGAGUUGCUAUGGUAGUGACUUGACGAGGUAAACUUAUGGAACCAGGGAUCACCUCCCUAGUGAUUAUUAAGCAAAAUCUCUCUCUCUCUGUCUCUCUCUCUCUCUCUCUCUCUCUGAAUGCUAUGAAGCUGUUUGAGCGAGCCCUCACUCGAAUUUCUGGAACAUAUAUGACAUUCUUUCUAUUGGUAGUUUCCUCUUGAGUUUGACGGCUCCUGGUGUGUUGAAAAAAGUAUGGUGUUCUCUUGUAAUAAUGUGUGCUUCUUACACCCUGACUUCCAGUACUUCAAAAUCUUUGAAAGUAGAAAGUGUACUGUUUGUCCCCGUAUAACUCUCUCACGCCCUGACUUCUGUGCAGCGCUUGUUGAUUUACGUACAAUUUCCGCACUUGUCGUACUCUGAUGCUUCAUAUCUCAUUACGUUCGGCAUAGAAUUAUAAGUAAUUUGAUAAUGCUUAUGUUUCUUCCUUUUUAUUUUGUGAUUGAACAGGUUCAUUUUAUAGGUUUUCAUUCAUGAAAGUUAUCAUGAUAAUCAAUUGUACCUUUCCUUGUUCUUUAACAGGUUAUUCGGCACCGACAAAGGCUACCGCAAGUUGAAGGCCCUUGAGGAUGAACAAAGGAAACAAUUAUAGAUUGCAGAAGGUCGACUUCUCACUUCCGGUGGCAACUCCUGAAUCCUGAUAGCAUAUGAAUGAGUUAGAUCUGUUGUACCUAGAUUUCUUUCAUUUGGAUAGUGCAUGAUCAGGCUUAACAACUGUCAUAAUUGGACGCCUAUGAUUGAGUUGUUGGUUGCCCUUUCUCAAGAAUGGAUGCGUCUUUCCCAUGCGCGGCUCAUGUUGGUGUAAUUAUGCGUGCAGAACUCUCUCUAAGUUUCCUUACUGAAGAUGAGUAGUUCUGUUAAAAGGCUUUGUUGCAUAUUAUUGUUCAAAUCCAGGAAAAAUCUGAUGAUUCCAACUAAUCUUUCCUGGGUCAAAUACUUGAAUGUUGAGAUGAUAUCGAUUUUAGUUUUGAUGGAUCAUAUGCAUGCUUUGGUAACUUCAAUCGUGUGAUCUAUGUAUUAUUGGAAUAGUUUAGUUAAUCUUUAUUGGAGAAUUUAGUGCACCAGGAGUCCUCAGCUUCUUGUAGCAGUGUGUUUUGUAUGCUCUUUUUGCCUUUUUGUCUUUUUUUAAUGUGUUUAAGAACUGUUUUUUGCUCUUUUUUGCCUUGUUUGUUCCAAAAAGAAUGGCCUGUUGAACAGUAAACCAUUUUUAAGCUGGUAAGGGGCGAGCCAAACAGCCAAAGCCUCAUCUAAUUCUACUUGCACAUCUAGAGAAAGUGAGAUAGCAAGACAACUUAAAUUUAGGUUGGUGGGGGUAUAUGGCCCAAUAUUUUCUCAUUGCGUUCGAUAAAUAGAAAAUCUCGAGUUUUUGCUGUGUCUAAAACUAGAUAUUAUUACUUUUGAUCUUUAAGUUGAAAAUUCUAUUCGAGGUUUCUAUAUUGCGUGGGCUGUGUUGACAGUUUCGAAGAGAACUAUUUUUUGGGCUUGUUUGGUUCAUAGACUAUGAAAUCGAAAUAGUUGUUUGUUUUACAGGACAUUCCACUCUGUAAUAAAAAUGAUCUAAUCUACUUAUGGUUCAAUUCGGUUUUGAUUUUUAAAUUGGUCUAUUUCUAUGUAAACCAUUCAAUUUUUUUUUUCUCACGAACAGCUCCCUCUUCCCUUCUUUCAUUACUCUUCUCUUUCUUAACUAAAACCAUUAAAAUAUUUGUGGAUGAUUUGUCAUUUCAUUAUUUCAUUCCCGUGCAAUCUAAUUUUAUUUUUUAUUUCUAUUUUAGUUAUGGACCUAAUAUGUCUUUAACGUUUUGUUAAACAUUAUUGAGAUUAAAAAAAAAAAAAAUUAGAGUGUUCGCAUAUUAUUCUUUGAUCAUGAGUCUUGGCAUCGAAGUUCCCAUGAUUUUUUGUCUCUUUGUUUGGAUCUGUUAUCAAAAAUUAAUAAAGAGAAAUCAUUUAUGUAAAAUUGGAUUGGAAUACUGUUAAUAGAAUUUAGGCUCUUUUGAUAUCGAGUUUUUAAUUAUUGGAUGAAAAAUUAUAGGAUUAGAAUAAUAGUGGUCUCCCUAAGAUUUAGUAGUAUAAAUUUUUAGGAUUGAAUGGGUGGUUAGUUGAAUAGUAUGAUCUAAAUAUUGAAAUUGAUUAAAAUGUAAAUCUAAUGGCUAAAAAAUCGAUAGCAAAAGAGCUCAAAUAUUAGUAAUAGCAUUCCAGCUUAAGAGUAGGGCUAGAAUACUUUUACAAGUAUCACCCAAGUAAUACUUGUGUGUUUCUAGCCCUUGGAUGGAGAGAUGUGAGGUUGAGAUGAUGGUGGUAGGUGGUGGUAGAUGGUGGUAGGUGGAAUAAUGUUUGAUCCAAGGGCUAUUUGUAAUCAAAAAGUAAAUCCAAUGGCUAAAAACGUGAUAGCAAUAUGGGGAUGAUACUUGUAAAAGUAUCCUAGAUCAACUCCCAGCUUAACUCCAAUUAUAUACUCCACAUUUGCAAACACUGGCUAUGCUUAAUAUAUAUAACUGGCGAAUCACUAUACCAAAUGUGUAAGCUAAACUAUUGGUAAUUAAUGAGUAAUUGCCGUAGAUGACUACUACAUGCCUAGUAAUAAGGUGACAUGCUCAUUAAUAGAGAGAGGGGGGGUUAGUGCUUCUUAUUCGCUUAAAAACGUGUGACAAUUAAUGACAUAGACUCUAAAUCUAAGACUCAUAGUCUCAACCACACCCAAUUAAAGCGUUGAAAUUAUAAAGGAUACGACCUUUACAAUAUUCGAGGACAAUUUGCUCAUAUAUACUGAGUAAUUAAUGGAGAGAUCUCCCACAUUAAUCCAAAGUUUGGUAUAGUAGCAUCUAAUACUUGUAAGAGCUGACCUUCAAAAUAAACUUAAUAAGAAGGCACUUGUAGGCACCAAAUUUAACCAAUUUAUACAAUCGAAAUAUAAAAGGCCACAACUUUGACAACUUUGGACAUUUUGAUUCCAAGCGGCGAUAUAUAAACACCAUCUUAUUUUUCUUAAGAUGUCGAUAAUAUUGCACAAUUCAAUUAACUUCAUUUUUUUUAGACACAAUUUAAUAUUUUUGAACCUACAAAGCUUAAUACACACCAACAUUUCUUAAACAACAUAUGCUAGCAAUCGGAAAUGUUUAGAUUUUGCUACUACUACAAGUACGUAUAGGAAAAAAGUGAUUUCAAAUAAAUUAUUUGAACAACAGAACGUCUCUUGGUGUAAUACUUUAAGCACCUAAAAUUCCAUCUAUUCUCUAAAACGAUAACCUCCAACAAACUCUUUGUAGGCAAUACUGAUACAUAACUAGCUCCAGCUCGGCCAAAAAGAUUUUUGGAAACAUCAUCAAUUAGCGCAAUCAAAUAAUUCUAACUUAUAUAGCAUCUUACUCAAGAUCUCGAAGGGAGAAUCUUUUUCAUUAAACAAAUGCGUGGUUCCUUUGUUGUUACACGAAUAUUUCCACACCAACACAUUUCUUUCGUGGCGACAAUGACCCCCCUAAUUCGUGACGUAUAAGCUGGUCAAUCUCCGGGAAUGUAUUGUGCUCCCCCUCAAUUAGUCAAUGAUUUAAUUCGCAAAAAUAAUUUAAAAAAAACCCCCAAUUGAUUUAAUGGGCUUAAUUUAUCAUAUCAAUCGUUAUCACAAGCAAAGCAACUAGCUUAGCCAAUCCCACAGGUGGCUUCUAGGAAAAAGCAGCUGCUGCGUUAAAAAGCGCUUCACGUGAAAACGAGAUUUAGUUCGCGUCAAAAGACAAGGGGUGAUAAAGAUACAUACAAUGUAUGAUGAUAAGUUUCCAUCAUCAGUGACAUGCGCACACAUACAUAGAAUUAAACUGUUGGGAGUGGGAUACAUUGCUUUAAAACCAAAAGGUCUUUGGGAUUUUAACUUCGUAUUUUGUUCUUUGGAGAGGAAGCGAAUGGGAAAUGUCGUUUUCUUGGGGUCCAACGUUUUGCUAGAGUUAGUGCACGUGAAUGCACAGAUCAUUUUUUUCUCAAAUGAUACUAUAUACUUACCUAUAUAAAUUCUACAACAAUUUACAAAAAUACAUACGAAUAACUAAAUAUUAGCGAAAAAGAGGAGCACUUACAUAAAGGAGGAAAGAAUCUGUAUAAUUUACGAGAGCACAAUUUAAAAUCCAUCGAUUAAAUUAUGUGGCUAGUAAUUAAACUGUUAUACAAUUUAUUUACAAGUAUAAAAUCUGUGCAGUUUACUCUAUGCUUUCCCCUCUCUUUACUUUGAUAAAAUACUAACAAUUAUUUGUUGUAGCUUUCAUGUAGUUUACUAUAUAUUUUCUCAAGUUUGAAACUCGAAGUAACGUUUCUAGCACCAGAUCGAUGAGCUUCAACCUUGGAAAACAGCUUUCCAUAAAAAACAAAAGGUUAGACCUUCUAGAAAUCUUAGAAAUUAAUCUGCAUAGAUCCUAACCCUUCCAUACUUACCUAACUUUUUAUAGUAGAAAAUUAAUUACCCGAGUUUCUUUUAAUUGCCGUCCAAAAUCCAUAUAUAUAUAUAUAUAUAGAGAGAGAGAGAGAGAGAGAGAGAGAGAGAGAGAGAGUCUGGCUACUAUAUACUUUUAUGAUUAUGAUCGUCCUCGUAUUCAUAAGUCAUUUUCGAUGAUAAAACUUUCGAAUCGACGAUCCAUACCAUUAUACAUUAUUUAAAGCAUUUAAAAUUUUUAGAAAUCAAAUUUUAUAAUUUUUCGACAUCAUUUACCUAACGAUCAAAAUGUCAGAAAAUUGAUAAUUUUAACGGCCGGUAUGAAAUACUUGCUAGUUGAACGAUGUGAAAGAAUUGAAAUUUGUUGAAUUUUUUAUAGAAAAUUCUAUUCACUACCUAGAUAAAGUUAAAUAACUCCGAUUUUAAAUUGAAGGAUCCGAUCAUUUAUUUCUAGGACGUCGUUCGAUUUUGACUGUUCAUUUUAUACUCGCUUGAUGGGCUCUAUAAUAAUUUUGAAAAAUUACGAGAUUUAUUUUUUAGAAGUUUCAAAUACUCUAGAUUAUACUUAACGAAGUGGAUCGUCAAUUUGGAAGCUCCAUCAUCAAAAAUAAUUUAUGAGUACGAAAAGCUAGAUAAUCAUACGACUAUACGAGUAUAGUAACCCUACCGAUAGUAUUCUAACUCAACUCUAUAUAUAUAUAUAUAUAUAUAUAUUUGCUUCCACGAUCAAAUUUUUUUUAAAAAAAAUAGCUUAAGCCUUAGAAAGGUUAUUUCCAAUAGUACUAGAAUAUGGUUUUUUGAGUUUAAGAAUUUUCAGGCUUUUAAAUUAAUAUAAUUCUUCCUUAGAAAAGAGAGAAAAAAAAAAUAGAUUUCAAACUAAUUAAUUAAUGUAUUGGGCUUGAGGUGUUAACAAAGGGGUCGGCUCAAGACCUACCAUAUUUAUAGUUCAAGUUCUUGGACCUAGCUGCUAAUAAUUUUGGCAAAUUUUCCGCAAGUAGAACAAAGAAUAUAUAGCUUCAAAUAUUGCGAGAAUUAAUUGUUCGAGAACUAAUUGGAACUCCAUCAAGUAUGGAAGAAUAUUAAAGCGUCCUACUGUUUGAUAGAGUUUUAGUCGAAAAAUCUCCGAAGUAGAUAGAAGAAACUUAAACUACAUUAUUCUAUCAUGCAUCAAAGUAAUUUUCAGAAUAUUUUGGAAAAUGAAUACAUGAAGUUAAUAAUUAAAAGGGCCAAUUACUUAUGUACCUUUAAAAGUUUUUCGACUUUUUGAUUUACCUCUCUUGGAGUAUAUCUCUAUAGUUAAAUUUUGUGAACCGUUAGCUACAGCUAUUAUCUUUUGUAAAAUUAUUAUUUUAUUUUUUCAAAUAUACUAUCCUACCGUCACCAACUUUUUUUAUUUGCCUUUAAGUUAGGAACAAAAAAAAUAAUUUAAUUUUUUAAUAUUUUACAUAUACUCUUCUAUUAUCACCAACUUUUCUUAUUUGCUUUUAAAUUAAAGACCAAGAGAUAUUUUGAUUUUUUUUUAACUCUUGUAAAAAUUUAACCUGGGUUUAACCCCAGAUAACUUAACGGAUACUAAUAGCAGAAGUAUUUUUGAAUAACGAAGAAAUAUACAAGGAAUAUAUUUGAAACAAAAAAAAAUGAGUACAUUAGAUAUUUUAGAAAUUUCCAAGGGCAUAUUUGAUUUUUUUAUUUUUUUUUAAGGAAGGCAUUUUAGAUAUUAUCCCUAAUUAAAAUACCCAUCAACCAUUGCUAAGGCAAGUGAUAAGGGGUUUGAUGGUUGGUAUCUAAGGUCUGAUUGGUAUCCAGAGUCCCAAGUUCCAAACCUAGUUAAGUUCAUUUCUUAAAAAAAGAAAAAAAGAAAAAAUAAAGUGGAUAGCAUAUAUGCGAGUCCAAUCAUAAUUGUGAUUACUAUUAUUAAUAUACGUUUUACAGUUUUUCUCUAUAUACUAAAAUGAGAAGUACUAGAUUGAAUUUUUUGGGUACGCGGCUUAGAACCAUGCAUGUAUCUAUUUUUCGCUAUAACAAGGGAGUAUAAAACUUUUGUAUUCGCCUAAAUUGUAUGUUAAUAAGAGUGGUGGUACUUUAAGCAAAAACAUACACGGAACCAAACAUGCCCAGUGUAUGAGAAAAAACAACACUAGUGCCAAAUAAAACACGGAAAGAUAUAAACGAGGAUAAGUCCAACAGUGAUGGCAUCAAAGCUUUCUGUAAGUGUCAUGGGGCCUCUCAAAAAACAGAUACCCUGUCAAAUUUAACCCUUUAGUCGACCCACAUGAUACAACAUCAACAUGUCAAAUAAUUGGAACUAAAAUAUGAAACAAACCUCUCUUAAGCAUUGGAUAAUCCAAAAGCUCGUACUAAAGAAUGGGACUGGCCGUGUAGAAGAAAACUAAAAAAUAUUCUCUCACAGCACUUCAAGUACCAUCUACAUAUAUUACCACUUAUUAGCUAUUAUUUACCUAACAAAAGAUUGUUGAACUGUUCUCAGCUUCAGUCCAACUUACUCCUGAGUAAAGGUAGGAAAAAAAAAAAAAUUCAAAUGAUACCACUUAUGAAGCUAAAAUACUCUCUCUCUCUCUCUCUCUCUCUCUCUCUCUAAUAUGAAAUGAUACCACAACCAUUAUAUGCUUGAAUCAAUAAUAUGAAAUACCAAUCAGAUCGAAGUGUUGUGUUAAUGUUUGAACCAAGUUUUAAGAGGUAAAAGAAUUAAAAUAUACAUGUUUUUGAACCAAUUGAUGCACUUUAGAUAGCGAAAAGCAUUUGGACUUAAACUUAUUAGAUUAAACAAUUACUUAUGUUUUCCAGUGAUUGAGUGUCAUAUCAUAGCCACUCACCGGCUCGUAUCUCUCGUCGUUUCUAUUCUUAAUGUUUAUUGGAGACCCUAUUUCUUUGUUGUGUAGGGAAACCAGGAGGUUAAAGGACAUUCGCCUUAUCUUCAUUAAAAUUUUACGUAAAUAGAGAAUGGAGACAUUUGAAGUAAAACCUCUACAAAGGAGAAUUCGAGAAGUAUUUUGUUUCUCUUAGCAACACCAAGUCCUUAAUAUUGAGUACUAAUUAAAUUAAUUGUCAAUGGUAGUGUAUUUAGCCUUUCUCAGUUGUCUGAUACUCUGAAGCUAAUGGUGAGGUAUAUGCCAUGCCUUGUACUACUUGACAGUUAUAACUAAGCAAAUAUAUAUAGCCGAACUCGCCUUUUCUUGUGGAAGAUCCAAAGAAGAUAAUGAGCAUUAACUAUGAAUUUCUAAAGCUGUUCCACCACUAUUGCUUAGUCAUGACACUGCACAUGAUAACUCAACUUAAAAUAAAUAUCUCAUUAUCUUCGCCUAUAGAUUAUUGAUCAUUCGCAUGUAGUGCCAAAAUGUAUAAUUUCUUUCUUUUUUUUUUUUAAUCGAGGAUCAUUUAAUCGUAUCAUUCUGGGAAGUGGAAAUAUUUAAAUGCAUAGAAAAAGUAUGAUGGGAAAGGAAUUAGACAAAGGUCACAAGACAAGAGAGACUAGCAAGUAUAUAUACAUAUUUUUGUGAUUUAAUGACCCCUUUGCAUUGACUAAUCUUGAAUGAUGUGACAUAAGGAUUCUAAUCACAUUCACUUGGCAUACAAAACAAGUAAACUUAUUUCUUUAUUAAGCCUAUAUAUAUGCUGUUGGAAUGAUCAAGUUAACAAUGCUACGAAGCCAGUAAUUAAUGCUGUAAGUUAAAUUUAGCAUCGAGUCCUCAAGGCCACAUAGAUUAGAGUAUUCAGGCACAGUGAGUGUAUUUGUUUACUAUCAUGUGGCCGUGAUUAUAAGUUGUCAUCCAAGUUUUGAGUUGUUUGUUAAAUCCGUGUACAGUGAUUGUGCCAAACUUUCUCUUAACUGUAAUUAAUAUGAGAAUCAUGGCAGGUUAUACAUUAUUUAUCAACUGGGAGUAGUGUAAAAACUAGAAUGUGGUUGAACAAGUGGUGGUUAGGAGUAGGGCCUUUUGCAGCUGUCCUAACUUUGGUGAUAUAAUAACAAACUAAUUUUCAAUUUAUUGGUCUUGAUUUGGUCACUUAAUUGUAAUAUAAUUAAUUAAGUAUCUAGCGAAAACAUAAUUAAUUUUAAUUUUACACGGGAAUACAAGCUGCCUUCAUGGUGACAAAGAUAGCUAUAAUAGGCCACUAUAUAUGGCAGGUAAAAGUGGGGGCAAAAAAGAAAAACUAGUACACAGGUAAAAACUAAAAACUAGAAAAGCCUUCACUCAAACCAGGCGAGUAUACAAGCACCCACCACUACAACAACCUUGAGGAGACUUUUUAGCUAAGCUUCUUAUCCAUAGACCCUCAUUCAACAUUCUAUUUCUUCCCGGAUCUUGGGUAUAGAUGAUCACCUCCAUCUACAUCCAAUUUUCUAAGAGUUCGUUUCGUCACGAAACAAUCUAAGCGUCUCUGAAUCGUGAGUCUUCCUUAGAUCUUCUUAUCGACCUAUAUAUGCACAGCAUAAUAAUGGAGCAAACCAAGUACAAUUGGAUGUGGGCUAGAAGGCAAUUGAGUGAAGGGCCUCUCCUUGGCUCCUCAAUUCAAAGAAUCGCCACCCCUUCCUCCUAUCAUGAGUCAUGGGAAGAACAAGCAUUUGAGAAGGAUUCCAUAGGCCACCUGGGGGGAUACACAUGGCCUCCAAGAUCCUAUUCAUGCAGCUUUUGUCGGAGAGAAUUCCGAUCAGCUCAAGCUCUGGGCGGCCACAUGAACGUGCAUCGAAGGGACCGAGCAAGGCUUAAGCAAUUAUCUUCAAGCCCUAGUAGUAUCGAAGACCAAGAGAAUAAUCAACAAGACCGCCAAAAUACUUGUACUCCGUUAGGACACGCACAUCAGGUUAGUUCUCUACCAUACAGCACCCCCUCGAACCCUAAUUGUGGUGCUGUGGCAUCACUUAUCUCUUCAAGGGUUUCAGAAGAUAGUGAUCCCACCUUGGUUUCUCCUCCUUCCUAUUCUUCGUCUCUCAUCAAGGAGAACACAAAGGAACAGCUUCUUCCUGCCGAGCAAUCCCUCAGUGAUCCAGCUCAAGUUGUGAUGUUGGAGUUGAAUCUUGGGAGGGAGAAUUCAAAGCAAAGGGAAGCUAAUUUUUGCCGCAAAUUAAGAGAUAAAUCCAGAGAUGAGGAGGAGAUUAUAAGUAGCAAGAGACGCUGCAUAGAUGCAAUAUUUCCUUUAGUCAUGAAAUCAUCACCAGGUGAGCAGCAAAACAUACGAUCUCAGGUUCUGAAAAUAAGCCCCGGCCCAGUCGGUGAAUUAGAUCUCGAGCUUAGGUUGGGUAGUCAUCCAAAAGCGAAAUAGGUAGGAUUUGCAAAGUUAAUUUGAUGUGUUUGAACACAUAUUUCUUAUCUUAAUUUGCAUAGGAUUUAUUUCUUUCGUUAGUACUUCUUUUCUUCUACUUUCGGCCAAAGGCCUUCCCUGUAUCUCCCAGUUUAUUCCUCGCCUUUCAAAUAUUUAUGUUUUUCGAGUAUUUUGACAGCAAAUAUUCAAUGUAAAACAUCCACUUGCAAAGCUUAAUUCUUGUUGUUUUAUGUUGUAAUGAAGCUGUGAGUCAUGAACCAUGUUUCAGGUUGCUGUUAGAACUUUUAUUACUUCAAUAAAUUGCAAACUUCAAUGAGUUGCCUCUUAGGAAUGACAUGGUUCUGAAUUCGAUCACAACUUGUUCGUGGUUAAUGUUACUUCGGCAUAAACAGUUGCUUCCAUUAGUACAACUAACAAGAAUGUCAGAUGAAACAAAGUCAUGCGAGUAUAUAUGAUCCGAUUCUUUUGAUUCCAUAAGGGAGUCCUUAAACAGGAUUUUCCAAGGACUCAAGUACUUCAGCUGAAUUAUCAAUUCUCACGGCAAAGAGAUUAAAAUUUUGCAUAGCUUCAAUAAACAUCUCACAGAUCAUACAAUGAUACUUUGGUUUGGUCGCCAUAUUAUCUUCUUAAUUAUAUUCACUCUCCUCAUCAGGAAAUAAAUAACUGCUUUCUUUGCUGACUAGCUUAAUUAUACGAACAUUUUGUCAGUUAAAAAAGGAAUAAAUGCUUUUCUUUUUUUUCUGAAAAGAAAAGGAUGAAAUAUCAUAUCGCUGGAUAUCAUGCUCCUCUUGUUUGGAUUCCUAUGAAGGUACAAAUGACCUUUCAUAUUACACACAUGGUUCACUAAUGAUGAAAAUAUACCCACCGUCCUAGAGCAAGUGGCAAAAAACUUGAUGGUUGGUACUUGAGACCCAAGUUCGAAUCCUAGUUGAUUCACAUUUCCGGCUAAGUUUAUUUCUAAAUGAAAUAAAGGAACCGGAUAGCGUGCUACCUAUCUCUCAAAAAAAAAAAAAAAUGAAAAUAUGAACUUAGGUCAGCGAAUGUGUUGGAUUAGCAACAUGCAUGACAAGAAAAUUUAGAAAACUUUUUUUGCGCGUUCUUUUCCGAAACCUGCGACCACCUUUUCCGGGACUGUAUGUUGGUCAAAUACAUCCGUAUUUGUGCCGAAGGGUCAGAUGCAAGCGAAUCGGACUUCGGGGAUGUACGGAGGAUAUGGACAGAGACAGCUAAUAUACCUGAUGCCGCCACGAGAUCGAAAAACUUAACCCGUUUGGCGGCAAUCUGGUGGGUCGUCUGGACGGAGCGCAACAACACUAUCUUCGACGAGGUGCUACCCAAUGCUACUCGGGCUCUUGAACGUGUCGCUUCUUUGACCAAUGCCUGGAACGGUGUUCUUUGACCCUUGAAAGUUACUUCCUUCGUGCUCGUUCCCCACUUCAUCUUUUUCGUCAUACACCCCGCUUUUCUUUUUUACAUUGUCUAAAUGGUAGGUGUAGGGUAAGUUAUUUUCGGUUUUCUUUCUUUUUUCUUUCGGCUCUUUCAGGAGGCCUUAGUUGUCUCCAUCAUGUAUGCCUAGUUCAUUUCGCUUAACGAAUGAAGCAGGUAGCUUGCUACCUAUUUUUCGAAAAAAAAAGAAGAAAAUUUAGAAAACUACCACGAAUUCUUCUAGUUUUAGGGUGACUUAAUUUGUUCAAUCCUUUGUUCCAUCUACUUCGCCCGAACCAUUAGUUCUAACACACACCCACCAAUGCGCACACACAAACACACUUAAAACACAUACACAUACACACAUUUUAAACAUACACAUACACAUAGAGAACGUUAGUGGUGCAUAAGGAGAAAGCUAGAUAUAGUGACUUGAAUUGCAUGGGAAGUGGUGUGGUUGUCUUUGUUUUGCACUAGAGCUACCAUACUAAGUUCACUCUACUGACACAUUCCAGCAGCAGAACAAACAACACAUGCAUGUGAGACUGUUAUACAUAUGAUAUAUGCAGACACAUAAGAUCUGCUACAUUAAUAGUACUCGGAUUCCCUUUUCUCUGUUCCCAGCAUUUCUCUUAACAAUAACAUCCUUGCAUACUCACAUAAUUAAUUUCCUCUCUUAUAUUAUAAGGCUCUAAUUCCAAAAACAAAAAAUUUUAAAAAAAGAACCCAACCACCAAACGGAAUCAUCCCAUUAUAGUAUUCUAACACAUUAUAUAACUCAUUUAUUAUUCCUAAAGGAAUAAAAACCACCCGCUAUCUACGGCCCUUUUGUUUCUUCUACUGCAUUGCAUUUCAUGUAGUUAUUACCUCUUCCCCUCUUGCUUUUUAAGUAAGCCCAUAUAUAUAUAUAUAUAUAUAUAUAUAUAUAUAUAUGUACCCAUAUGCCCAUAAUGAACCCUAUAGCCUAUGAGCACGAAAUUUGUGUGUGGGUCAUUAAUGCCUUAGGGCAAUACAGCUAUGCAUGCAUGGCAUAUAUGCGAAACGAAAUGUCAACUUAGAAUUUAACUGGGUUUGCAGAAGAAUUUAAGAGAUGACCCAAGAAAGAAUAUAUAGGAGUUGCAGGAGAAUUUAAGAGCAACACUAAGAGUGAUAUACUUCCCAUUGAGGGGGAUGUGACUAGUGAAUGCUCCAUGGUGGAGUCAAUGGAUGUUGCUUUUUAUAGGUGCAUGAGGACACAAGUUAUAAAGAGUAGAAGAGUGAUGGGUUGGUUCGUUUCCUUCAAAAAAAUACUACUUCUGUGUAAAGGGGCUCAUUAAGAAGAGCGUGUCGGUUGUGUCUUUGUGUUGGUGUUUUUGGGAUGGUGACAGGGUAAAGGAGAGGGACGUGUCAUGUGUUUUUCUGAUAGAGGUGUUUGGUACUGAUUAAUUUUUUAUGGUGCCCCAAAAAGUUUGCAUGUUUAAGGAUUAUCAGCUUUCAUGUGCUUACAUCUGUCUCCGUUGGUAAUGCAAAAAGGUUGUGAGCAUGCACCAAUCCAACAUGUUGUACCCUGCAAAUAUCCAUCUGGGGAGAAACUCCACUGAGCCAUUUAAGACAAUAAAAAACUCAACUACAUCAAACUUAUAGCAAAAAGAAUAUUUGUGCAGUGUUGAAAGAUCUAAGUGAAUGCUAUUAUUUCUACACGAAAUAUUUGUACUAAAGAGAACUUCCGAGCCAUAUGUUCUUUCUCUUUUUGUUAAUCUAGUUUUCUUCUAUUAUUGACUUACUACAUCAUGAGGAUCUUUAGUUCGAGGGUCUCAAAAAAAUAAAAAAUUAAAAAAUCCAAUAUACUGGGCUUGGUUAUUAUCACCACUUAAUUGCUCCCCCAAAGCGGCUCAAAAGCCCAACCUAAAAUCUCGUGCACAUCAACCCAAUUAUAUUGGGUUUUCGGGCCACAACAAACUCCAUGAGCUAAUGGAUUACUACUGGACCUUUUCAAUACUAUCGGGUCCAUUACAACAAUUGGGCCGAAUUUUGCCUCAAAAGCCUAGCCCAAUUGGAGCUGAUGUUUUUUUUUUUUUUUUUUUUUUUCUUAUCUCAAUUUUUCAUUUGUUUCUUCGGAACUAAUAUUAAAUAGGAAAAACUUUAAACGCCACCCUGUAAUUUUGUACUUUCUCACUUUAGUGUUCUAUGGUUUAAAAUGUAUCGUUUUCGUACCCUAUGGUUUUAUUUUUCUAUUUCUGUUAUCUCCUCCAUUAAUUUUUUUCGUUAAAUCAGUAACAAAGUUAAAUCUAAAGGAUAUUAAAGUGAAUAUUCGAUAAACUAUAGGUAGAGUAUUUGAAAUUUUUUGUAUAUGACUUAAUGAAAAGUUAACAGAGGGGCUGACGAAAAAAAAAAAAAAAAAUCACAGGAUACAAAAUUGAUACACUUUAAACUAUAGGGUUCUAAAGUAUGAAAGUACGAAACCAUAUGGAUGGUAUUUGAAGUUUACCCUAUUAAAUAAUUGUUUGGUAGACCACAUUUUAACUACACAGUGCGGUUUCAUAAUAGUAUUUAGAAGCUGUAUCUACAAAUUAGAGCUAUACAAGAGUGAAGAUAUAGUUUUUAUAGAAAGUAAUUAAGUUUACAUAAGACUUAGUCUUAAUACUCUCACCUCAAAUAAAAAAGAGAGUUUCUUUGCACUGAAGGGUAAUUUUAUUUGAAACCGACCGACUACAUGAUAAACCCUAAUUAAGCCUCUUCCAACAGCAUAUAGUUAUAUCUAACCGCAUGUCUCUCUACUCUCUAAUUACACAAUAUUUAUAACUAUGAUGAAAUUAAAAAAAAUAAAAAAAGUCAAUUACCAUGUUACCAAUACUGUAAACACAGCAACUUCGAGUGUUUGCUUUCUUGUUCAAAGAUGUUGCCCUGACCAGUACGCAACAAACUUUGAUCCAACGGCCGGGAGUGAUUGCAGAAGAUGCUCUUAGGUAUCGUUUGGUUCAAGGAUAAGGAAAAAGUGGCUAUUUCAGGGAUAGAUAUAAAUUAAGGUAUAAGUGGAGAUUAGAUCAUUUUUGCGUUUGGAUGAAAAUUGAGUUAUUCCUGGGAAUAAAAAAAAUAGCGUUUGGUUAGGUAAGAUGGAAUAAGAAAAAUAGUGAGUUCUAUAAAUAAAAAUUAAUAAUAUUAUCCUCUUAUUAUAUUUGAAUUUAAAUUUUUAAAAUUUUAAAUAUAUAUUUUUAAAUUUUAAAUUUUAACUUUGAAAUUUCAAAUUUUAAAAUUUAAAAUCUCAAAUUUUAAAUUCAAAAUUUUAAAUUUUAAAUUUCAAACUUCAAAUUUAAGAUCAAAUUUAAAUUUGAAAAAUAUAAAAUAUAAAAUUUUAAAUUUCAAAAUUAAAAUAUCAAAAUUUAAUUUUAAAAUUUAAAAUUUAAAAUUAUAAACUUUAAUUUUGAGAUUAUAAAUUAUAAAUUUUAACAAUUUAAAUUUUUAAUUUUUAAAAUUUUAAAAUAAGAAUAGGGAUGGGAACAAUUAAUAAAAAUAAUUUAUUAUAAUAAAUUUAUAAAUUUUUUUAAAAUUCUACUUAAAUUUAAAUUUAAUAAAAAAAAUUUAUUAUAAUAUUUAAAUAUAAUUUAUUAUAAAUUUUAUUAUAAUAUUUAAAUAUAAAUAAUAUGUAUUAAUAUAGUACAAUUAAUAAUUUUAUAAUAAAAAUAUUGUAUUAUAAUAUAUAACAUAUUAUAUUUAUAUAAUUUAGUUUUAAUUCAAUUUAUAAUUUUAAUUAAGUUUGAAAUUAAGCAUUGGAAUAGUGCUAAUCCACCAAAAUGAUGGAAUAGCAAAUCCCUUGCUAUUCCGGGAUAACCGGGAAGAGCAAGGUUUGACCGGGAUAAAAUAUCCCAGCCAAAUUUCACCCCGUUUGGUGGAAUAGCGGGGAUAACUUUCGUUAUCCCCGCUUAUCCACCCAACCAAAUGGGGCCUUAAGAAUUUCUCCGCAUUAUAUGAAUGAUUGAAACUUUAGCAUUCAAAGAAUAAUGCGUAUGAUUAAAGCUACAAGGCGCUUCGAAAAAGUUAGCACUAUUAGCACUAACUUGAAUUAUAAUACUACAAGGGCGCCUCUCUAUUCUAUGACUAUGUGUACCAAUUAUAGUACUACAUGGCCGGGGCUUCUUUGUUCUAUUAAUUACACGGUGUUGCAGAUUGACUUAGCUAGAUUCCAAUUACAGAGGUAGUGAUACUUCACUUUCAAAAUGACGACUUUUAUCGAAACAAACAAUAUUGAAGCAAAAUUGACCUUACAAUAAUUUUAAGCUUCAUUGCACUCGAGUUUCACCCUCAUUUAAGUUUUCGUCGAUCCAAACGAUCGAUCCAAACCAUGAAAAGAUAGGAGCGAAUAAACCAAAAAAAGAAAAUAGCUCUAGUUCUCAUGAUCUUGAGGAUCUGGUCAUAAGUCAAAAGAUGCAUUGAUCUAGUCAACUUAUUAUUCCAUUUACAAGUAGUGAAAUGGAGUUGGUACAGGAUAUGUGCCACCAAGUCACUGAAGCCAACGCCAAGCACUUGCGACUUCCAUUGUGCAAGUCAACUUCCUUUGGAAGUCACCGAUUAAUUUCGCCAAAACUCACAUUGCAAUCACACAGAAUUUCGCACGAAAAUGAUGUUACAGGAUUUACAAGUCUUGAUGAUCCACUAUCCCAUUAGUAAAAUCAGUACCCACUUGUUGCAUAACGUAGUAAUAAAUUCAAACUUCGUCGAAAACUAAACGCAUAUGUACGAGGCACGAACUGCUGCUGCUACUUUCAUUAUAUUAUGGCUGUCGAACACUUUACGCUGUUGCUUAUUGACCUAAUGUUUGCAGGUUCCCUAAACUGUAAGCAUAUAUGUGAAAUUUAGAAUGUCGCCAGUAGGCUUCUCCCUGAAAUUACUGAUGAAUUUUCCUGUGAAGAUCAGUUCAAAAAUAAAUUUUGAAAAAAAAAAUAGAAGAACCUGUGAAGGGAAAGGAGGAUACUUAUAUAUCUUUAAAGUAGGGGAUUUUAAUGGGGAUAAAUAUCAUUUUUGAUCGAGUUAUAUUCAAGUAUCGAAGUUUCUGCUGCUUUUUGAGAAACUUGCAUAGAGUUUUCCAAAAUUGCAAGCAGUGAACGUAGAAAACUGCAAUGUCAUGGGUUGAAGUAAAAAAGAUACAAGGUCUAAUUGCUAUUUUUUAUUUGUUCUCUUUUCCUAUAUAAAUUUUCCCUUCUUUUGAAGCAUAAAGUUUGACUUAGCCAUUAGGGGAGCUUAGUUUGAUCCGACUUUCUUCGUCUCCACGUAAUACAACUUCAAGAUAUCAAAUUUGAUAAAAGAAGUGUCCAAUAUGAAAGGAUUUUUCUUUUUCUUUUUCUUUUUUGCUAUAUCAGCUUUUUAUAAGCUGGUCAAUUAGGACUGGUGUUUAGUCCUCCAAUUCUUGAGGUAAUUUGUACCAAUAGAUUUCAGACUAGGAAUCAAAUACUAAUAUUUAAUAGCAUAACCUCAAAUUAUGUUUUCAAUGCUGUGAGAAAAAUGUGUCUAAACUCUAAUAUAUCCAUAAGAUUGAGCUUGUUAGGUAUUGUAUUUCAUUCAAAAUAGAAUUGGAUAAAAUAAAAUGAAAAAAACGUUUUUAACAAGUAAAAGGUGAGCCUGAGAUACGUUAUAGUAAAUUUCACAUCUAAAUCACAUUCAAAUCCAAUCUUUCACAUACGAUUCCAUAAUUCUAUCCUGAUAGAAAUUAUUUGAUCUAGAUGCGUGUAAUAAAUCCCCAACCACUUACAACUUGUGAUGCAUCUUUCUCUGGCCGUCUCUCGACAACAAUACUCUCUCAUUUUAUUAAAUCUAAUCAAUGAUUUAAUUCCUUCCUUUGUCAUUACUAAAACAGAUACCAAAUAUGUCAAUCAUGUAAUGUAGACACAAUGUAGUAAUUAGUUUCAGGUCCAAUCACCAGCACCAAAGUCUUAAAUUAGAGAUCCAUGCCCUGCCACGGACCAACUUCGGUGCCAUGCCACGGACGCCAUUGUUGACCAGCGACGCUUCCUGUGGGCCCUCACUUUGACCAACGCAACAUCCACUGUGCACGUAAAGCCGCGACACAGGGAGUGACAAGUGUGGCGUCAUCCUCCACUUAGCGUUGUCCCCUUCAAGAGGGGCCCACUAAAUGGGCCCCACUCUAUCUCUAGAUUGGCUUAAAGGACCAUUUUUGGCCCGAGAAUGGACAAGUCAAUAUGGGCUAAAAGAGGGGGUGGGGCGUUUUCUUUACCUUUCAACAUACCCUCAACGACUCUCUCCCAUUAAACCCGUACAAAUUACACCUCAUCGCUCUCAAGGUAUAGCUACAUACCGUAAAUAUUUCGACACAAACAAAUAGGAAAUUAUUACCGACUGUCACUAGAGCAAAUGAUAAAGAGCUUGAUAAUUGGUACCCGAGACCUAAGUUCGAAUCUUACUUGAGUCACAUUUCCAGCUAAGUUUAUUUCUAAAUGAAAUAAACGAAGCGGAUAACGUGCUAUCUAUCUCUCAAAUAAAAAAAAUAAAUAGAAAAUUAUUGUAUGAAAUUACAUAUUGUUAACUUUCAUAGUUCAUUUAGAAAAAAUACCAAACGAACGGUAAAAGAAAUAAAUGCAGAAAGAAGAAAUCAAGAUUUACGCGGUUCGGCAAUCCCCUACGUCCACGGGAAGAGCGAGAGAGAUGUAUUCCAGUAUAUGAAGAAAUAGAAGUACAAGCUUACACCUUAUAUCUUCUCCGGAUAAAAAACCAAGAACCUUAUGGUGAAUCCCACCUUUCUUGUUCCAACGAAAACUCCAAGAAAAUACCGAAAAAGCUUUUCGUAAAACCGAGAAGACCAAAUUAGAGAAGUAUAGAAACUCUAACCAAAUUCCUUUAUGCCGUUGCUUCGAAGAAUCCGAACCGCUCAGGCAAUUGGUCAAGAACCGCUGCUCCGCCGCCAACGUCAAUCCGUCGUUGCAUGCGAGCAACCUUCCUUCUCUUUUUCUUGCUACCGUACGGCUAUAGGAAGUUGUGAAUUAAUUAGCCCGAUGCUAAUUAAUUCUCUACCACAUGACACAUUGUACGGUUCACCCCAGCAUGAAUAUAUAGUGCUAAUUAACCCGGUCAAAAGUCAACCAAUGUUAAUUGGAGUCGGUUUGAGAAGUAUAAACCGAAUAUGGUUUUGAUGCAUGCAAUCCCAAUAUUAAUUAGAUUCAGCCUCAUCUCUUACACCAACGUGAAUCAACUUUAAGAAUUAAUAUAUUCCGUAGACCCGGUGCAUUGACCAAACCAAUAAAAAAAGAAGGCAUAUCUUUAACAAAUCCAUCUCAAAUGGCAUAUGAUAUUUGAAACAUUAUGUAAUUAUAGUUUUGAGCAUUGUUCUGCUAAUUCUUUGGGCCUUCUAUUUUUUCUUUUUUACCUUUUCUGUCUUUAAUUCUUUUUUUUUUAUUUAUAACCUCUUCCAUUAAUCUACACCUCUCUGUUUUUAUUUUGUUUUCCUUCUGUAGGCCCAAACUAUCUUCACUAUGUAGGUUUAUUUAUUUUUUCUCUAAAUAAAGAAAACGAGCAAGAUACUACUCUUCUUUUUCAAGAAAAAAAACUAUCUAUUUCCGAAAUCACAGUAGAGUCCACUUUUACUGUGCGAGUUAGUUUAACUAACAGUUUUAAUCUACGUUUCAUAGAUUAACACCAACAAAAUAUCUCGUAAACCACCAAAUUUAUCAUAAUAAAUAGAUCUUAUGAUAAAUGUAAAAAUCCAACUCGGACAAAAACUUGGCUUUCGCAUAAUUUGGUCAUGCCUGAGGAGUAUGAUCGUUAUCAUAAGUUUACGGACGUGAUUGAUGGAUCAACCACUUCUGGUGGGGUGGCCUAUUCCGCAUCAUUUCUUUGAACCUGGGGAGCCAAAAACAAGUUGUGCACAAACUUCCUCACAAAGUUUUGAAGCAAUUCGAAUCCAUAUCCUCCCGUUGUGGGACCCACAGCACGUGAUCACCGCACACCGUUCAUCGGAGGGAAAAUGUAUAGUGAUAACGUGGCGUAACGGAUCAAUCAAAAUUUUUUAAAAAAAAUUAUAUGUCACAUCAUAAUUAUAAAAAAUAUUUUUAUUAUACUUUUAUUUAAAAAGAAGAAAGAUGAUUGAUUUGUUAUUGAUAACGUGGUGCAAAUAUGAUAGUGUAGAAUUUCUCCUAGCUUGGUUAGGUAGGUUCUCUUUUGUUUUUUUGGCUUUCGUUUUGUUUUUUUUUUUAUUAGUUUCACCCUCUAUUCCAAAGUUGCUUAUAGCCACUUCCUAAUUCUGAUAGUACAUGAAAUCCGAAAAAUCCAAGACUCAAAUGCUUUUCUUUUUUUUUUUUCUUUUUUUUUGGGGGGGACUAUACCUGCAGGGAUCUUAAACUGAUAGUACAUGUAAUCCGAAAAAUUCAGGACUCAAAUACUAAUUUUUUCCUAUUGGAAUAUACUUGCUGGAAUUUAAACUGAAAGUACCUGUUAUCUGAAAAGGUUAAAUUUUAUAGUGGUAUAUUCAGGAGAUAACGAGAUCCACUUACGAGAUCCACUUACUUACAUUAAAAUAAAUAAUGAAACUUAAAAAAUUAAUUUCAUAAGCACCAAAUUACAUCAAAACAAAUAAAAAAAAUAACUGAAUUUAACUGUAAGAGUUAUAUAAAAAAUAAAUAAUAAAAAAUAAUCACAUUUUAAAAAAACUCAAACACCACUGUAUUUGAGUUACUUUGGAUUUAUAGAUUCGACAAUUCAAACGCUCCCUUAAAGUAAGUUUCUGUAAAUAACAACCUCAACUACUAUUGAUCGUAACUAAGGUAAUCAGCUAAAAAUUUGAUGAGUAGUAUCUAGAAUUAUAAAUUAAAAGUUUUGUUAUUUUAUAUUUUUAGUUAAAUUUAUCUCACAAAAUGUAUGGUGCGAAUAGUUUAUCAUCUUUUUCUCUCUCAAAAAGACCAAAAAAAAAUCUCAACCAUCUUUUUCUCUCUCAAAAAGACAAAAAAAAAUCUCAACUACUCGUAAGUCAUUGUUAAUUAGGCGAUUAUACUUUCAUCCAAAUAAUGUAACCUAAUUUAAAUCCACCAUUUUGUUCAUAACUUAGAGCCUAUUUAAUUCUGCUAUAAAUUUAAUAUUAUUUAGAAAAAAUACUAUUAGUACAUCUCAUAUAGAGAUGUACAUCUUACAUCUUUAUGAUUCAAAAAUUAACAAAAAGAUAAAUAAUUCUAAAUAAAAUAAACAAAACAUGUAACAUGUUAUCUAUCUCUCUCAAACAAAACAAAACAAAAAAAAAAAAAAACAAAUGAAACAACAUACACCGACAAGUGAUACUACUGGACACUCUAAUGUAACACUAGUUAAGUACCCGCGCUUCGCGGCGGGCAGAAAAAUUUACAAUAAACACACAAUAAAAAAUAUUAAACAAAUAGCACAAAUAUUUGUGCUACUAAAGAUUAUAUCUGUGCUACUAAAGAUUAUAUCUGUGCUACUAAAGAUUAGUUCAGAUCCAAAAACAAAACAAAACCAUCAAUACAUAGAGUCUAAUUGGAUAGUGAAGCGAAUAGUAGAGAAAAUCCAGCGAAAGCAACAGCAAAGAAGCGGAGAUCUCGAAGAACUUCCCGGCCUCACAAAUAACAGCGAAGAAAGUAAAAACAUGAUAAAAGAAACACCACGGCAAUUCUACAACAAUGCAACAACAAAGAAGAAUGUGUAGAUCCAAUAAAGAUAUGUAUCCAACCCAAAGAAGAGUGUGCAGAUCUAACAAAGCAAUGUAUCCAACCGGAAUAUUUCUUUCUUUUCAUCCCCAAAAUGCAACAACCGCAGUUCAAAAGAAAAGUAAUACAACUGUUUGUAAGGUUACUGGCAGGUAAUGAAAGCCCCAAAGUUUCAACAAAAAAUAGAGUACUUCCUCAGUUAAGUAGGGAUUCAAAUCUUCAAUAUGCAGUUGCUAAACAUAGACAUACAUGUUCUGUAAAGAUUAAUGGAUAAAUAAACAUUUGUUCUAAUUAUUCCCAAAUGAGCUUAAGCAACACCAUAACCAUUUGCCUUCUUCUUCUUCAGAGAAGCAUAAUCAAAAUUUUCUUUUGAUUAAGCCAAAACGAAAAUACGGAACAUCCAUUCUGAGCAUACCACAAACUGAAAUGCCUUGAAAUGAUGAUCAGUCUAUGGCUUGAUCAGUUCAGCAACAAAAGUGCCUCAGAAAUACCUAAGGCUAAGUUAUUUCAGCUAAUCCAAAAUUUAUUUCUAGUGAAAAGCAUCCAUUCCUGGUCUUAUGUGAGGUACAUUAAGAAAUAUGAGUGAAGCUAGGAUUCAAAAUCAAUGGGGCCCAAGUUUACUGUAAACAGUGAACAAUUUAAUCAUAAAAAAUACAACAAAGAAGACAAACAAAAAACAGUAGGCCUAUUUCAACAUCUCCUAGCUCUGGACUUAGUCAAGAAUGUGUGAGUCAAUUGCAAGGUAGAUAGCUCCAAAGACUUGAAGUGUAUUGCUAAAUUCUAGAGCCAAUUGCAAGGUAGAUAUUUCUUAGAGCUUGUUUAUAGAUUCUCAGUCCCUUUGUAAGAAAAAAAAAACAGCUAUAUAGAUACCCAAGCAAUUAGUGCAGAAAGUAAGGAAGCACAUCGAGAGGGCCUUUUUUUUUUUUGGAACAUAAUCAAGAUACACUGAAAAUACUUGUAAGCUUACCGGCAACCAUUUUUUGGGACAUAUUCAAAGUAUAAAGCAAAUACUUGUAAGCUUAUUGGCAACCCAAGUUACAAUGGAACUAUAUACAAUGUAAACACUUGUAAGACUACUUGCAACUAAUGUGUAAGUAAUGUACAAAGCAAGAAAUAAUGGAAGGAGUUCUGUCUAUAUGGGCACAUUCAAGUUACAAUGUAAACACUUGUAAGGCAACUUCCAACCAAUUUGUAAGUAAUUAAACACAUGCAAUCCUACAACUCCUACUAUAUUGCAUGCCAAGAUAUAAAGCUUAUUAGGCAUCAAAGACCAAGUGCUAUCCAAAGUAAACAUAUAUAACAGUGGAACAAUAGUAAACAUGGGAAAUCACAUAAAAAAUGUAGGGAAAACAAAACCAAGGGAAGAGUAGUCAUGAAGAACAGUAGACCUGAUAUCACUGAACCGAAGAGAGGGGAACACCAUGACAACCAAAUUAAAAACAGAACGAAGUAAAAACUACUACAUAUUCUAGGCCAAAAGAGGUAGAAAGCACAAAAAGCAUGAGAUCUGAUGACCAAGCAAAAGAAAAGAGAACAAAUGGAAGCCCGAUCCCGACAAAAGCAAAAAGGAUUAGGCUAGACAGUCGCAAACAUCGACGUAAGCAGUAAGCUGCCCCGAUGAAUCCACAGUAAGGCCAUACUUCGGCACAGGUAUGGACAGCCUCUGCGUAAUUUCGAGCAGCACAUUCUUAAAUGAUACGUCGAUCACGCCCAUGCCUGCACUAACAAUAUGAAAACCCAGAAGGCAAUUGUAAAGAGUAAGGAAAGCUAGUAAAAAUGACUUGCGGAGCUACGCAGAUUAUUAAUGGCCAGCAAAAACUUUGGAUUGUUAAAUUUAGGGAAAAACAAAUUGAGACAAAAGCCAGAAAGGGGAAACAAAAAAUAUGAGAAAACAUAAUGCAAGGCUCAGAUUCACAGCUCCCCCCACAAAGCGAAGGGGUACGGCGAACAUUAUAUGGACCGGAUUUCUGCACUAAUAGCCGCAGGUUGCAGCGAUCACCCUGAGGCUAUUCGACUGCCAUGCCAUUGCGGAUAAAGGUAAGAUAGAUUUCGAGUAUUGCCGAUAUCAUCAUUGCCUUGCUCGCAGGCUGCAACGAUUGCUCCGAAGCCAUUCGACUGCCGUGCCAUUGCAGAUGGACAGAAGAAAAGCGAGAAGGAGGCGAAGCAGGAACCGCGUGCAAAACUGCGACCAAACAUCGAAGCACCCAAGCAUCAGCAAAUCCAGGCAUGCACAUAGACAGAGAACAUCAAAAUGGGAAGCAAGCAAGGAAACUUCCAGAGAACUCGACCUCCUUUCUUGCGGCAGCACCACUCUCAAGAAAAGAUUGCAAGGUAGGAAACCAAAUUUUGUUGAGCAUCAAAACGUAUCGGCCAACAGUCUAUAUAUAUACAUACCAGCAUUGGAACAAACCAAAAGAGAAGCGAAGAGAGCAAGGGGAGGGCGCCGGCUCACAGCGGCGCACCAUCCUGAGAUGACAGCAGGACGACGCGACAGUGAAGGUACAGUGGAGAUCAGGAUGAUCCCCAGCCCGGAGAGAGCGAGCGAUCUCCGAAGAAGGGACGGAUCAGGCGGGGCAUUUAAUGCCCAGAUCUAUAAUAUAGACACAUGUACGGCGAAGGAAGGAAACCAUCUCCGGUGGAGCGACGGGUUGAUAGGGGGCAUUUAAUGCACCGACGGCAGUUGCGCGGCGCCAUUAAAUGCCCCGAUUUGGGUAGAUACAGGCGUACGGUCGAGGGAGAGAGGGAUUUCCGGAGAAGCAGUGAAUCUGCGGAGAGGUGCCGAAAACACAGAGAGGAGAGGUAAGGAAGAAGUACAGUGCCGGCGGAGUUGCGCGGCGCCAUUAAAUGCGCCGUUUUGGGUAGAUACAGGCGUACGAUCUAGGGAGAGAGGGAUUUCCGGGGAAGCGGCGGAUCCACGGAGAGGGUAACGCUAGGCGAACAUAGGGUUCGCGAGAAAGGGAAAGGGAGAAGUUGCUGCGCAAGGGACCUACAUGCCGAAAACGCGGAGGAGAGGUAAGGAAGAAGUACAGUGCCAGCGGAAAGACGCGGAGAGGAGAGGUAAGGAAGAAGUACAGUGCCAGCGAAGAUGUACGAAGCCACACAGAGGGCGAGAGGGAGAACCGAAAAGGCGGACAGAAAGGACCGAAAGCAGGGAGAGGAAAAGGCGGAGAGAGUGGAACCUAAAAGGCAAACAUGAGGGACCCACCCAAACCGAAAACGCGGAUGCACUGUGGAGCAAGUUUUCGGUUCACCCUUUAAUGUAUUGGUAUUGAUGUAUGGAUAAUAUUUUAUAAUUAUUUGUAAAAUUAAUACAUGUCCUUGCGAGUGAAAUCAUACAUUAUAACUUCUUUCAAAACUACUGACCGUCCCUAAAAUAAGUGGCAAAGAGCUUGGUGGUUAAUAUUCGAAAUCUAAGUUCGAAUCCUAAUUGAUUCACAUUUCCAGCUAAGUUUAUUUCUAAAUGAAAUAAACGAAGCCGGUUGCUACCUAUCUCUCUCUCUCAAAAAAAAAAAAAAAAAAAUCUUUCAAAACUCGCCAAGUGCAACGCAACAUAAGUUAAAAAAAAAAUAAAAAUCAAAACCGACCGUCCCUAGCGCAAGUGGCAAAAGGGCUUGAUGGUUGGUAUCCGAAACCCAAGUUCGAAUCCUAGUUGAUUCACAUUUUCAGCUAAGUUUAUUUCUAAAUGGAAUAACGAAGCAGGUAGCAUGCUAUCUUUCUCUCAAAAAAAAAAAAAAAUCAAAUCAAAACUUUUGCUUCUAGAACUCAAAAUUGAGUUUCAACCUUCCAUAAAUGGAAAAGGUCUAGCAUUUAUGGAAAAGCCUAGCAUUUUUAACUGUCAGUCUAUCCAUUGUAAAUAACUAUAGCUAAAAAUAAAAAAUAAAAUAGAAGUCACCGUGGCUAGACUAUUAUCCUAACUACUUUUUACUAAUUUCUCAAGUAAUUUAUCUCAACUAAAUCCCCCCUUACCAUCUGUACCCUAUGAUCUAGCUCACACACAACUAAAAUAACAUCAAAAAAAAAUAAAAAUCUGAUUCAGCAUUUUUUUUUAAAAAAAAAAUUAUUCAAUAAAUAAGUAGUAUUUAAUAAAUUAAAAAUAUAAUUAAAUAUUUAAAAAAGUAUAUAUAUCAUAUUUAAUCUUCAGUUAUAUAUAUUCUAAAAUAUACAAUUUUGUAAAAUUGUGAAUGGUAAAAUUUUUUAACAAGUUAAAAUAAAACUCACAUAAGUUAUAUAAUUAAAAAAUUUUAUAAUAUAACUAAAUAAUUAGAGAUCUAGUCCUAAAUAAGAGUCCGGUUACCAAAUUCCAACACAGCAUUCCGUCCAUUGACCGGUACCCACGAGUAGCAGCUCCUUUCUUCGCCUCAAAGUCUCACUCUGGCCCAUCCUCUCUCCCAUCCCUAUUCCCUCCUCCUACAAAAGCCCACACCAGAUCACCCGAAACCUCCGAGAAAUUAAGCACUUAUCUCACCUACAACUAUUUUCUCAUCCACCGGAUGACCUAACCCAUCUCUCUCUCUCUCUCUCUCUCUCUCUCUCUCUAUUCUCCCCUUUUCAAACAAACAAACAAACAAACUCCGACGACGAUACCACCACCCCUCCCCUCUCUACCUCGCAACAUGUCUAAAAAUCCCACCUUUAUUAGUGGUUUAUCCUCCCUCGGAUAACCCGACCCCCACCUCUUCUCCCUCUCUCCGAUACGUGUCUACCUCCCAAUGCCUAAGAAUCUCGUCGUCUUCUUCUUCUCGCUGCUCCUCUCCGUCGCCGCCCAGCGAGAUGAGUUCGUGUACACCGGCUUCGGCAGCGGCAGCGGCGGCGCCAAUGGCGGCGGAGCGAACAUGAGCUUGAACGGCAUAGCGGAGAUCGAGGAUAGCGGGAUCCUGAGGCUAACCAAUGAGACGACCCGCCUCAUCGGCCACGCCUUCUAUCCGACGUCCCUCCGCUUCAAGAACGGCACGGACGGCGCCGUGUUCUCCUUCUCCACGGCGUUCGCCUUCGCCAUCGUGCCCGAGUACCCGAAGCUCGGGGGCCACGGCCUCGCCUUCACCAUAGCGACCUCCAAGGAGCUCGCGGGGGCGCUUCCGAGCCAGUACCUGGGGCUCCUCAACGCGAGCGACGUGGGCAACGCCACCAACCACGUCUUCGCCGUCGAGUUCGACACCGUCCAGGACUUCGAGUUCGGGGACAUCAACGACAACCACGUCGGCAUCGACCUCAACAACCUCGCCUCCAACGCCUCCGCCGCCGCCGCCUACUACGACGGCGACGGCGGGACGAAGAGCGACCUCAACCUCAAGAGCGGCGACACGAUCCAGGGAUGGGUCGACUACGACGGCGCCCGCAAGAUGCUGUACGUGGCCAUCUCCCCGUCCUCGACCAAGCCCAGCAAGCCCCUCCUCGCAUUCCCCGUGGACCUCGCCCCCAUACUGGAGGAGCGCAUGUACGCGGGCUUCUCCGCCUCCACGGGGUUGCUCGCGAGCUCCCAUUACCUGAUGGGGUGGAGCUUCAAGAUGAACGGCGCCGCCCAGUCGCUGGACCUGUCCUCGCUCCCCUCGCUCCCCCGCAGCAAGAAGAAGAACACCACCUUCAUCCUCGCCACCUCCUUCUCCGCCUUCGUCCUCCUCGUGGGCGCGGCCGCCGCGGGGGCCUACCUCUUCUACAAGGUGAAGAACGCGGACGUCGUCGAGCCGUGGGAGCUCUGCUACGGGCCCCACAGGUACUCCUACAAGGAGCUCAAGCGCGCCACGAGGGGGUUCAGGGACAAGCAGCUCCUGGGGUUCGGCGGGUUCGGGAAGGUGUACAAGGGGACGCUCCCCGGGUCGGGCGCGGGCGCGGGCGCGGAGGUGGCGGUGAAGCGGGUGUCGCACGAGUCGCGGCAGGGGAUCCGCGAGUUCGUGGCGGAGAUCGCGACCAUCGGGCGCCUCCGCCACCGCAACCUCGUCCAGCUCCAGGGCUGGUGCCGGCGCCGCGGCGACCUCCUCCUCGUCUACGACUACAUGCCCAACGGGAGCCUCGACAAGUACCUCUUCUGCGACGGCACGGAGGAGGACGAGGAGACCCAGAAGCGCGGCGGCGUGGGGGGGCGGCGGCGGCGCCUGCUGACGUGGGCGGAGCGGUUCCGGAUCCUGCGCGGGGUGGCGUCGGCGCUGCUCUACCUCCACGAGGAGUGGGAGCACGUGGUGGUCCACCGCGACGUGAAGGCGAGCAACGUGCUCCUCGACGCGGACCUCAACGGGCGCCUCGGCGACUUCGGCCUCGCCAAGCUCUACGAGCACGGGGCCAACCCGAGCACGACGCGCGUCGUGGGCACGCUCGGGUACCUGGCGCCCGAGAUGACCCGCACGGGGCGCGCCACCACCGCGUCCGACGUGUUCGCCUUCGGGGCGCUGGCGCUCGAGGCCGCGUGCGGGCGCCGCCCCAUCGACCCCAAGGCGGCGCCCGAGGAGCUCAUCCUCGUGGAGUGGGUCUGGGAGCGCUGGGCCGCGGGGAGGUGGGCGGAGACGGUGGACGCGCGGCUGGGCGGGGACUACGACCGGGACGAGGCCAUGGUCGCGAUCAAGGUGGGGCUCAUGUGCUCCCACCCCGCCGCGGCGGCGCGCCCCACCAUGAGGGAGGUGGUGCGCUACCUCGACGGCGGCGACGCGGCCGAGAUGCCGGAGAUUCGGAGCCCGCCGCCGCCGGGGUACGAGGGGGCCGGGAAGGGCCACGAGGGAUUCGACGACUUCGUCCACUCCUACCCCUCCUCCUCCUUCGAGAAGCUCUCCGCGUCCGCGAGCCCCGUCGCCGUGGGCGUGGGCGUGGGCGUGGGCGAGAGGGCCGCGGUGGGCCCCAUGGGGUACUCGCCCCUGGCCCAGUCGCAGCCGCACUCGGACGUGACUGCGUGAGGCACGUGUCUGAGGAGGUGCCCACCUGUCGACCCUGCCAGCUGGGGCCCAUCCAUCGCCCGCCCACAGGAAUACAGGAUCAUUCGUUCGUUUCCCACUCCCCAGAAUACAGAUGGGCAGUUUUUUAUUAAAAGAUUAUAUAUCGGCCCAAUGGGCCUAAUCAUUGUUCGGCGGGACCUACAGCUUAUGCUGAGCAUCAAGUAUAAAUCGAUGACAAUUGCUGCUGUAAUUACCGUAUCAUCACUUCCUUUUUAACUUUAUUUUGCGAGUGACGAAGCUAUUGUAAGUGUGAAUAAGCUUGUGCAUGUGCCUAAAGAUUCCGUGUCUUUUUAUUUUAAGUUUUCUUCUUCUUCUUCUUUUUUUAAUAUGUUCGGUUGAGUGGUCACGCUAGUUUGGAACAUGUCACAAACGCCGUCCUUUAAUAACGUACACUAGUCACUCAAGUCAACAUUCUUUACAAGCUAAAAAUAUCCGCAACUGAUCAAAUAUUAGUCGAUGCAACAGUCCACACCCUACAACAACUAAGAAAUAGUAUUAAAUAUGGAGAAAAAGCUAUCAUGUUGAUAAUCUAGUGUAACCAGUCUCCAUUAACUGGUAUAAUAGGUAUAAUUAACAACUCAGUGUAUAUGUUUUUUUUUGUUUUUUUUAUAUACGAGAGGUAUAAGCCAUUUUCUUAAUUUAUGUAAGGACCUAUGGGUGUUGGAAAAACCAAUUGUUCAACAGUCACCUUGCUGACUUUGAAGUUUGAACAACUAACUAAGCCCCGUUGUUAAGCCCAAAUCUUACACAGCGUGUGAUUUUCUGCUUGCUCUUUAAGGCUAUAGAUUGUGUUCUUAAGAUAAUACAUAAAAUCUUCUCCUUUCUUUUUCCUCGAUGAAAAAGACGCCAAGAUAUCAAUUUCCCUGCUGCACAGACUUCGCGUGUUAUCAAUAUCGGAUGCCCUGGCAAACCAGCUCAAACCGGAGUCCAUAGAAUUGUUGAAAGUCGAAACCUAAUCUAUAGUGAUUAUAAUUUAUCCUGGGCUAAUAGCCUAAGACUAGGUUGUCCCAACUAUCUCCCUAGCCUAGUCUUAGCUUUUUAUGAGGUUACUGUGAAAAUUGUCAUGACCUGAACAAUUUUGAUGUUACAAGCUGCUAAAAAUUUUACAAUAGCAUAAAUAAUGUUAUCUUAGAAUCUUCGUUGAUCUUCUAUAUUUUUAUUUGGAGUUAAACUAACCUUGAACAAUGAGUAACAAUCUCUUAAAAGAGUUCUUGUACCUGAAAUUCCUGCAUGAUGAUGCGGAAUAUCAGAUUCUUCUCUGGAUCAGUAGACAAUUUACACUCCGAUUUGCCGUAGACUCUAUCAAAACAACAAAAAAGCCCUUAGAUUUUUAAGUGUGCCAACUGCAGAGUUAGAUAAUGUUGCGAUAUGAGUGGGUUGGAUAUACUCAGCUGUUUAUGAUCUUUCUUUUUUGAGAGAGAGAAAGAUAGUAUGUUACCCGUUUCGUUUAUUUUUUUAAAAAAUAAAUUUAGCUGGAAAUAUGAAACAAUUAAACUUCGAACUUAAGACCUCAAAUACCAACAACAAAGCCUUUCGUCACUUACGUUAGAGGCGGUGGUUGCUGUUCAUGGUCUUGUAAUGUCUCCACAAGAUUUUAACAGCAUAGAUGCCUUCAAAGUGUAUCAAUUCAGAAGGUUAAAUAUAUCUGCAUCGAGAAGUAAGCUCCAGUAAGCAGAAUAUCACAGCAUUGAGAGGCUGACUAGCAGAUGAAGCAAGAACAAAGAAAUGGUUAUUAUAGCAGAGAAUAUACAUUAUUUACAUUAGCAGAAUCAAAUAUCGCUGCACCUGGUGUAGCUAUUUAACCUACUUUCUCAGAGAUUUAGCCUAGUUUGUUCAAAAAGAGAGAAAAUGUAGUAUCAAAUGAAGUUUUUUUUUGGCUCUUUCAUGUAUGACAAAAAAGUAAAUAAAUAAAAGAAACUAAGAAUACAUAGUCAAAAAAGAGGCACAUGGUGGUCUACCGGGCAACUGAAAGAACAGCAAGAGAUCUCAAAAUGAAAAUGGACUUCAUUUACAAUUGGCUUAAGCAAACAGCCUCAAGCCAUUUUCCUGUCUUUUGUUCGAAAUAAACAUAGUAGCUGAAUAAGAAAAACUGUUAUGAUUUAAUAUCUUACAAGCAACAAUCCAACAGGAGCAAAGGCAAAGGUAGUAUCAGAAGAAGUUGCUAUAUAAAAUUAUAUCAAGACUUGAAAAAGCAUUCUUGUCACUGUCAUCGGCUGUUCAUCCAGAAAAUUGGGAGAUUUUAAACGAGGGAUAAUUUGUCAACAACUGCUACAACCCAGAACCUUCAUGAAGUUAAAUAUGUUAUCUUAAAGAUAUCCUAGAAAGCACAACGUAACCAAUCAACAAUUUAUGGGCAAUAAAAAACGCAAAUUACAUGGGCUCAGGGCAUCCAUAUUUUUGGUCAUUAAUUGCCAGCUUGACAAGGUUGACUAAGCUAUGAGGGCUAAUUGGAAGCUCCUUUUACACUUUAAAGUACUCCUUCCCUGUGCACAAGGAGAGCCAGGGACAGCAGUUACUUUUUUCUUUUUUUUUUAAUUUUUUUCUUUUCUUAUUUUUCAAGUAAUGGACAUUAUCUAGUUUGAAUAAGCCAUUCUCCCUGGCUCUACCAACAAUGUUAGGUCUGAGUUUUAUUGCCCCUCUAAAAGAAGGAGAAGAGAAAUUAUCGCCUGCACCUGAUGCAACAUGCCAGCAUGCACUUCUAUGAUACGUUGGCCCUGCUUUCAUCUGAUGCUUUAAAUCCAAUCAUCCAAAAUUGAAAAAAAAUAUAUAUAUAAUUAAACAAAAAGUUGCACUGUACAGACUGAGAAGGUUGAAGUGUGAGUUUUGGAUGACAGGUGGAUCGCCGAACGGUGCUAACAUGGCGCACCAGGUGCAGGCCAGGCAACUAUUUCUCUUACCGAAAGGGCAUAAAAUUGUCCUCCUUUUUUUUCUUUUUCCUUUUUUUUUUUUUUUGAAAUUACAUAGAAUGGCCAUCUUCCACACAGAUCUAAGAGAUGUAUAACAAAGUAAAUGGCAAUGAACAGCAUUAACACCGAAGAAAUUGCAGUGGGAAUCAAGGGAUGCAAAUGGAUCCGGAUUGGUGGAACUCCCACCACGAUCUGCCCAAAUGGGACAGUAAAUAGGAACAAAAACAUAUAAAAAAAUAUAACCCAUACCGAAUCCGCUCCGAUCUGCCAAGUAAAUAGAGCGGAAGGUGGGAGAUCCUUUUCUUCUUUCAAUCCGUUCCAAUCUAUCGAAAAUUCGCUCUCGCCCCGAUCCAUCUCAAAUGAGACAGUAAGUGGGAGCAAAAAAUAAAAUAAAAAAUAGCCCGCUCCAAAUCCGUCCCGUCCCGUCCCGACAAGAAAUAGAGCGUCAAGUAGGAGAACCCUCCCGCCCCCGGAUCCGCCCUGCUUGCAUCCCUACAUCUUCCACAGAGAUCUAAGAGAUUUUACACAAUAAGUGGUAAUGAACAGCAUUAACACAAAAGAAAUUGCAGUGGACCCCUUGAUAACAACUGUAGUGAAUGAUAAAUACAGGUCCCCCCAACUGUAAUAAUUAAUUAUUAGGGAAUAGUUUUGUUGAACUGUCACAACAGUCGCUGCUGAUGGCACUACCACAGGUCCACAACCAUCAUCCACGCACACUUCGUCUGAAGUCGACAAGAUUCCUGGUGGCGUCAAACGAAGGAAUUUACGUUCACAACAGUAGACUAAUAUAUUAUUUUUGUGUGCUCAUCCAGCUAUACUCUUGACUCCCGAAUAAGUAAGGCCAUUUAUUCCACAGAAAAAAUCAGCCAUAAUUUCAACUAUACUAUUUUAUGACACAGCUACAGCCAUCCAACUCAAAGCUAAUUUAUCGUCAUGGUAGAAAGAAAAAAAUAUACAGACGAAAACUUCAACAUUAGUUUAAUUAAGCAAAAUCAAUCAGUGUCGCCUUUUAGUGUGGCAAUAUCAGAAGGUACCAAAGUGUAACAAAGGAAAGACUAAGACUUCGUUUGGCAUUGUUGUCAAAUUUUUAUCUUUUUAAAUAGAAAUUCUAUAUGAAAUAGUAAAUAAGGGGACACUGGAUUGCUUCCAAUCCUUUCAUUUAAAGUGUUUUUUGGGCAACAAUAAAACAAAAAUUUAGAAGAAACUUUUUAUUCUUCUAAUUUUUUUUAAAACAGGUUAUUAUAAAUCACCGGGACCGAGUGCAUAGCAAGCGAACCAACAAUAAUAACAAGAGAAAAUUCUUCCACUGAAAGAUCAAAUUAUUUAGAAUGAAUAUUUUUUUAAAAAAAAGAGAAAUGACAACAAUACUAAACGAAGCCUAUUCUUGCUUCUUUUAUNCAUCGCACGAUGGAUAGAGAGGUUUUUUUUUUUUUUUUUUUGUCUCCUUUCAACUGAAAAUUCAUAGACCGUACCAUAUUAUUAAAUACGAAUAAGCUUAUUAUCUUCUACCCCUAGACUUAAAUUAUUAGUAAUGAGUUAAAGAAACCUUUAAUCCAUCGAAAGUACGACAUUAGUUACGAAGAUCGUGGACGAAUUACAUGACAAAAAAAUUAAAAAAAAAAAAAAAAAAAAAGGAAAAGAAGAUACGAAUAAAAAACCUUGUACUCCGCUUCGUUUAUUUCAUUUAGAAAUAAACUUAACUAAAAAUGUGAAUCAACUAGGAUUCGAACUUGGGUCUGGGGUACCAACCACCAAGCCCUUUGCCACUUGCUCUAGGGACGGUCGGUGUCAACUUUCCUCUGUUAAAUUCCAAAUUUGAGAUAGUACCAUAAAGAGUGGAACAAUGUCUGUCCGUACGGAUGUGAAAAAUUUAAAAGUCACAAUACAUAAAAUAGAUAAAUAAUAGCAAUAUAUUGCAGAAGUUUAAAGAGGAAGAGAGGAUUGGGCCUCAGAUGUGAGCCAUGUUGGUGGAACUCAUUCUAUUACUCCUCAUCAAACUAAGUUCAGCAUCAGAUUAUAUCAGUUUCACAUACAAUGGUUUCAGCGGCACCAUGAUAAACAUCGAUGGGCUCGCAGAGAUCUUACCAAAUGGCCUACUGAGACUCACCAACACAACAGAGCAAAACAAAGGACACGCCUUCCACCCAAAUCAGAUACAGAUGAGGAACUCUUCUACUGGUGAUGCCCUAUCCUUUUCUACUUCUUUCGUUUUUGGGAUUCAACCUUUGCAUAAAGAUCUGUUUGGACAUGGAAUUGCGUUUGUUCUUUCUCGUUCAAACAAUUUAUCCGACAGUCUCCCUAGUCAAUAUCUAGGACUCUUCAAUGAGAAGGACAUCGGCAAUUCCUCGGACCAAAUCAUGGCAGUUGAGCUAGAUAUCAAUUAUAAUCCUGAAUUCAGAGAUAUCAAUAAUAAUCAUGUUGGGAUAGAUGUCAACACACUUAGGUCUCUCAACUCUUCAACUGCGGGAUAUUAUAGCAGUGUUAAUGGUGGUGGUUUUCAAAACCUAAGCCUUACAAGUGGAGAAUCCAUGCAGGUCUGGAUAGAAUAUGAUCAUGGACAGAGAUUACUAAAUGUAACAGUAGCUCCUCUGUAUGUGCCGAAACCUAAUAUUCCUCUGUUAUCUUCUACUCUGAAUCUUUCAAGUCUAAUAGCAGAUUACAUGUAUGUUGGUUUCUCUUCAUCGACGGGUUCUUUUCCAACAUCUCAAUACAUUCAGGGUUGGAGCUUCACAUUGAAUGGAAAGGCCGCAGUGCUCAAUGUACCACAUCUCCCAUCACUUCCCCGAUUAAUUCCCAGACCAAAAUCAAAGCUACUAAUCAUUGGGCUGCCCAUAAUUGGUGCUACUUUUAUGCUAGCAGCAAUAGUCGCAUUCACACUAGCGAUAAGAAGAAAGAUGAAAUUCGCAGAGCUACGAGAAGAUUGGGAGCAGGAAUAUGGUCCUCAAAGAUUUUCAUACAAAGACCUAUAUAUGGCCACCAAAGGCUUCAGAGACAAAGAGCUUUUAGGCGCCGGAGGUUUUGGUAAGGUUUAUGGGGGCAUACUGCCUCACACCAACACCCAAAUUGCAGUGAAAAAAGUGUCUCAUGAAUCAAGACAAGGAAUGAAAGAGUUCAUCACAGAAAUUGCAAGCAUUGGCCGUCUCCGACACAGGAAUUUGGUUCAACUACUUGGCUACUGCCGUCGAAAAGGAGAGCUCCUACUUGUGUACGAUUUUAUGCCUAAUGGUAGUCUUAACAAAUUCAUUUUUGAUCAGCCAACGCUGAGGCUUAACUGGGAUCAGAGGUUUCACAUAAUCAAAGGAGUAGCUUCCGGGCUUUUCUAUUUGCAUGAAGAAUGGGAGCAAGUGGUAAUUCACAGAGACAUAAAGGCGAGCAACAUUCUACUGGAUGCAGAACUAAAUGGACUGCUAGGGGAUUUUGGUCUCGCGAGAUUAUACGAUCAUGGGACUGAUCCACAAACCACCCAUGUGGUUGGUACUUUGGGUUAUCUCGCGCCAGAACUUACUAAAACAGGCAAGGCAACUACCAGCACUGAUGUGUACGCUUUCGGAGGAUUUCUUCUUGAAACUGCCUGCGGGAGAAGGCCGAUUGAAAUGAAAGCUUUGCCAGAGGAGAUGAUUUUAGUGGAUUGGGUGUUGGAAUUUUGGAAAAAGGGAAAAAUUUUGGAAGUGAGGGACUCUAAUCUCGGGAAUGAGUAUAAUGUGGAAGAAAUGGAAAUGGUAUUAAAACUUGGCCUUCUUUGCUCACACCCAAACCCCGCGUAUAGGCCGCGGAUGUGGAUGGUUAUGCAAGUAUUGGAAGGUAAUGCGCCGUUCCCCGAUGUAUCGCUACUGCAUUAUUGGAAUACUGACAACUCAAAUGUGUGGAAUGAAGGUUUCGAGGAUUAUGUUGUAGAAUCACUACCAUCAACAAGUAAAUCGCAACCAACAACAAACGAAUCGGUCAUAUGAGGAUGAGAUGGUCCAACACGAGAUUGCUAGAGCGAAUGAUUUAUUCACAUUUGCACUGUUUAUGUGAGCAAAUACUAGUCUUUUCCUUGGAUGAAAAGUUUUUUCAGCAGAUUCAAAGAAGAGCAUAUCUACACAUGGAAGAAAUUUAGUUAUACCAAGUUGUUUCCCUGAUCCAAGUUUUCUUUCUUUCUCCCAUCUCUUUGCACCUAUCUCUAUAUACCUAUUUCCUUUUCAGCAGAAACAUCGCCGAUCCUCGAAACUAAACCAAAAAAUUAGCGAAAUGAAACAUCCCCUAAGAUUUCUUUGCAGACAAAUACAUCUGUUGUUCAAAAGAUCGAUCUAAUAGGGAACGACUUAGGAAUAGUCUAAAAACCUGCUCACGCAUAUGCACAGUGGAGAUCAAGUAACGAAGGAAUCAGAAAAUAGAAAUUUACGCCAUUAAAUGACAAGCAAAGGGAGCUUAAGCUCGAUCCAAAUACUAUGUUACUGAAAAAAACAAAUCGAUAUGAUAAACCAUGUGACCAAACGGAAUUUCGCUUACCUUGAAUUCACGAUUAAUCCCCAUAAAUUCCGGGGACUGAGAGGAGAUACUCGGGCUCUACAGUGUAGCUUCGAAUCCCAGCGAAAAUAUGAGAAUAGGAUCAGAUUAGGGUUAGGGCUUUGGAUGGUGGAGGAAGUGGAGGGAAAGGGUCGACCAUGGAGGAAGGGAUGAACCCGAGAGCGAGCGCGCGGGAGACGAGGAUUUCCUGAUUUGGUUUGUAGUAAUGAAUAUGAAUGAAUUUGUAGGCUGGGCUAAGACCGAACUCAAGCGCGACCCAAACUCUAAAUUCUCGGCCCUAGCCAAUCUUACCGAGCUUAGUUUGGUAAUGAGAUAUAUCUAACGCUAUUAGUUAAAAUAAAGUUGAGAAAAAAAAUAUAUAAAGAUAUAUUUUUGCAUUUUUCUAUAGGAUCGUAACCGACUAAUCGUGAUAUGCGGAACGCAAAAUUACGUACGGAAACAAACAGAAUAUUUUUCCAUAGUUGUUUCUUACCGCACGUAACGUCCGCAAUCUCAGACGAAGCCUCGUUCAAACACUUUUUUUUUUUUUGAGAAAUAGAUAGCACGCUACCUGCUUCGUUUAUUUCAUUUAGAAAUAAACUUAGCUAGAAAUGUGAAUCAACUAGAAUUCGAACUUGGGUCUCGCGUAUCAAUCAUCAAGUCCUUUGCCACUUGCUCUAGGGACGGUCGGUAGCUACGAAAUAUUUCUGAUGCUAUAAUAUGGUGGUUCCAGUUG
rnacentral:lncRNA from 1 species